UUUUUUUUCUUGGAUAAGGUUCGCAGAUACAUGAGGUGAUUAUGGUGCCGUGGUGAUCACAUAGUUGGCUUGCUCGAGAUCAACAGCAGAAUUUCCAUUCUGUUGGUUUUAAAUGAAUACUUUGACAGCUACUGUUAUGGAGAUGGAUCAAACCACUUAAUUUUUGUAAGUACAAUGUAAUUACUUUUGGUUUUAAAUGAUCAAGGAGGUUUACUUUGGAUCCAGUCAACCUUUUGGUUUUUCUGUGUAAUUGCUUUAAAGGAUCUGAAGCAACUCAUAAAACUGAUUUGUUGUUUCGCUUUUCGAUUUUGAUGCGAAGAGCUGUAUUUGGUAGUUUAAGACAUGAUUGAAAUGCAUGUCAGGUCAGGUCGAUCUCCUAAAGCAACAAUCACCAGUCAAUUCAUGGCUAUCCAAAAUGCAAGGAAACUCGAGUUUUUUCAAGUUAUCUCCAUAUUUUUUAACAAAUUACAGUGACAGUUUCACUUUAAACCCUAAUCACAAUUGAAAUUGCCAAGUGAUGGAUCAGACAUAUUUUGUAUUUUCUUGAACGCUCGCGAUCACAGUGGCUAAGACAACAGAAAAACUCAGCAAGAAGUCAAGGCCUAUACAUAACAAUGAGAACAGAUAGAGAUUUGAAUAUUUAAAUAAAGUAAUAAAAAUGUAUCAGUGCCAACUAAUAGUAAAAACAUAGCAGGCAUCCUCACCAAAUUUCAAUUAUGCUCGACAGCUCUUAUAUGAGAAAGUAAACGUGAGGAAUCAAUAUGGAAUUCCUUGAGUUGCAUACCAAAAUUGAAAUCGUAAAAGAACAUUUUUCUGCAUUUUGAUUCUUCUUCUUUCAAAUAUUAUUUUUUUCUUCUAUAAUUUCCUAAUUUAGCUAUGUAAAGGUCUUGUUUUUACGAGGAAAAUGUGUACUGGCAGCCAAGCCUAGCUUAAUAUCGUUUCCGUUUUGUUUUGUUUUGCAAAGAAAAUAAAACACUCACUUAUGAAGGUUUCAACGAAUUGGUGGCCUUGUUUCAUCAUCUCAUCACAAAUCCUAUUUAGCAUGAAGCAUAAGAUAUUAUUGAAAUGUUUUGCUUUUAAAAUCUUUAAAAACACCUGUCCUUAAAAAGAAUCUCUCUCUCUCUCUCUCUCUCUGAUAAAAUCAAUUUAGAUGUCUAAUAUUUCAUAAAAAAAAACAUGUGAUCCAAGCAGUUUUUUAAUUGAAUAUUUUGGCUUAAAAUCUAAUUCUUUUUGUUUUUUAGUCAUUGGAUUUAAGAGAGGAUAGAGUUGUUGAAAAUCAAAUAGGAGAUAGAAAUUUACUAAUGAUAUUUUUUUUUAUAAUGAAACUAGUUAUUUUUUUAUUUUAAUAAGUUUUAUUUGAUGAUGAAAGUUUUUUUAAAAUAUUGUUUUUUUUAUUUUUUUGAAAAAAUAGAUUGUGCUUGAAUUUUUUUUUUCUUUUAUCUUACACUAUAACAUUUGAAGCUCUACAUCGUUCUCUUUCACGUGGGAUAACAUGUGUGGUACUGUUACAAUGAUAGUUUAUUGUCCGCCACUCGAUCCUUUUCCUUUUCUCUUCUCUCUCCCCUUCCCUGUUAAAUUUUGUGUUGGCCAUUAAAAAAAUAUAAACCAUAUCAUCUUAUUUUAUGACAUUUCAAAGAAAAUAAUAAUUAUUUAGAAGAGGCUAUGUAUAUUAUUAAUUAAAAAAAAUUAAUUAAUCCUAAGGGGUCGAUGAACCAAUCAGACUUUGGAUUUGCUCCCUAAUGAUCACGAGUUCGAGUUCUCUCUGGACCACUGUAAAUUUACAUGGUCGUUAACUUUAAGGCCGGUAGAAUUAGUUGAAAUGCUUAAAAGCUAACUUGGAUAUCAAUGUUAAUAAAAAAAAAUUAAUUAAAAAGGUGGUUUAAUUGAUUAAUUAAACGUUUUGAAAUCAGCAUUAAUUCUAUCUGCAGAUUAAUUGAUAAGGUGGAGUGGAUUAUAGGUUAUGCGAACCCAAAACUUAUGUCCUUUAGGUGUUUGAUCAAAGUCUAAUAGAGGCUGAGGAUAAUGCGCUGGGAUUCUAAUGCCUUCAAUGUGACAUUGUGAGAGUUCAGUGUAAUAACGGUGGACGGGGGAUUGCAAUUAUAUGGUGAUGCUUGUAAGCUUGCAAGUAUCUUCAACUCUCUCUCUAGAAAAGGAAAAAAAAAAAGAUUUGUGCUCAGAAUAAUCAAAGCGAUUCUUGAAAUAAAAAAUAUAUUCGAUACAUUUUUAAACUCUUAAACGAAAAGUAAAAGCAUUUGCAACAUAAUACUAAAAACAUGCGAAAACUCUUAUUUUCAUUCUCCAUUCUCUUUCGAUUUUAAAUAACCAAUAUUUAUUACUGGAGGAGAUUUUAUUCUCUAUUAACAUAUAUAAAUAUAUAUAUUUUUAGUAUUAAAUUUAUUAGAAAUUGAAUUUUAUAUUUAUUUUUUAUGAGAUUUUGUUAAUAAAAAAAUUAAUUAAAAAGUUGUCAGUGUUAGAAUUUGACCAUAAAAUUAAUUAAAAGAGAAAGGAAAUUUGGUCGAUGCCUAGUUUAAUUAAACCUUUUGAAAUCAACAUUAAUUCUAUCUACAUGAAUUAAGUAAACUGUAUUAUUCUUCUAAAAGAUGCAAUAAACAGUGAAAGGACGAAUCUGAUGGCUUGUCUUUGUAAAGUAACGACAGACCAAGCGUACGAGGUAGUACGGUAUCUGUAUCAAAUCCAGGUAUCUGGAUCUAACAUUUAUGCCUGUAAUAAAUGAUGCAUUUUCUGUCCUUGUCUAGAUUUUGUCUGUUAGAAGCUGACUCAAAAAUCUGUUUUACAAUUUAUUUUUAUUCAAAAUAUUUAUAAAAACAUUUAGAAAUUAUGACAAACUUAUUUAUUUAUGACUUUAAAAAAUAAAAAAAAAAUAUUCUAAAAAUCAAAUUCAACCUGAAACUAAAAAUCAACCUGAGUUCAAAUCUGUUUAUUAACAAAUAUUUAAGGUAUAAAAACACCUAAUAUGAACCCUUCUUGUUAAAUUAAAUAAUUUAACACAAAAAAUUUUAUUUUUGAUGGUUUAAAUCGGUGUCAAUAACAAGUUUUUUUUUUUUGUCAAAAUUCAGCGACCUCUCUCUCUCAAUCAAGAACACAAAAAUAAUAAAAAUGAAUCCAUGUACCAAAAUGGAGUUUUUUAAAAACUUACGAUACACCAUCUAUAUUUGUCGUAUUAUUCAUUUAGAUCCCUUCUCUUCUAAUCUUAUUUUUUUCAUAAAAAUUUAAAUUUAAUUGCUUUUUAAAUAGUACUCAUGUCCAUAAACAAAGUCUAAGAAUAAAAAAAAAAAACAUUUUUUUUGUAGAAUGAUUGGUGUACAGUGAGUUCCCCUAUUUGUUUUUACGUUUCAAAAGUGUUUUUAAAAAAAAUUAAUUUUUUUUUUAUUUUUAUCUUUACUUCAAAUUAAUAUUUUUUUGGUAUUUUUAGAUUUUUUUGAUGUGCUGAUAUCAAAAAUAAUUUUUAAAAAAUAAAUAAAAAUAUUAUUUUAAUAUAUUUUCAAGUAAAAAAUACUUUAAAAAACAAUCAGAGUCAUGUUCUCAAACACAGCAUAAUAAACCACCGCAUUACUAUUUGCUUAUUCAUUUUGACAGUGGCUUUGAAUUUUUGGCAAAUGAGACUUGUUUUUUUGGCUGCGGGAUCACGAUAUGUGUAGGAUUAGUUAUGAUCCAAGAUGGUCACACCAACCUUGGUCACAAUCAAGUAUCAAUUUUUUUUUUAAAAUGACACGAAAUAUAUAAUAUAAAUUCAAAUUGUAAAAUCAUAAAAUUACAAGUAAAAUAUUUUAAAUAAUUAUAUAUUAACAAUUUCAAUCAAAUAGUAAUUAAUAAUAUAACAUAAUUAAAAUUAAAAUAAAAUAAACAAUAGAAAAAUUCCAACACCUUUAUUUUAUUCACAUUGAUUCCUUUACUUCUUGGAUAAAUCGAUUCAUUUAUUUUUUUAUUUACAAGAAACGAGUCUUUAAAUUUUGAUAGACCAUUUAAUAUUAAUUACUCCAAGGAUCAAUCAUGUUAAUUUACAACUUUUAUGAUAUAUAUUUGGUAGCUAAAACAGAGUAAUAUAUCAAUUGAUAUGUUAAUAGUUUAUACAAGAAAUUAUGAAGAAUGAAUAUGUAUUUUAAUUUUACGGAAAUAAAAUCCACAAAUAACUUGAAUCGUUAAAAAAAAGUUAUAAUAAUUAUAGUCAAAAUCAAGCAUUUGAUUAUGAAAUUGCACAAGUUUUACAAGAUAUAAAUUUAAAACAAUGAAAAUGUUAAGGUACAGAUUACUAUAAUAUAUAAUUUUAUAUUUUUUUCAAACUCGUAAAAUUGAUUUGAUUUUACCAAGUUUGAACGAGUUUAGCCAAUUUUACUAAUUUUUAAAUUUUAAUUUAAUUUGACAUAUUAGAUAUAUAUCACACAUAAAAUCAUAACAUUUUAAGAACAAUAUAUUUUUUUUAACAACAUUGUUCACAGCCCCGUUCAUGGUCAAUGAAAGAAUAAAUAAAAAAAGCAUUUUGAUUUUUUAGCGUUCCGACAAAAAAUCUAGCUGGGCACAACGUCCUUGACCAACGCGGGGGACAUGCCUUUGGCUGCAUCUGUUAUUUGGGUGUGGUUUCCUUUCAAGAGAGGAUGCAAAGAGUUAUGUUUGGGUGUGAUUUUUUUAUAUGCAACUCAACGAAAAAAAGCCAUUUUAAGAAAUAAACAAAAUUCUCGAAAGAAGCAGUGACGAAAGAAAGAAAAUGGUAACCAAGUGCAUCCUUGUAAGGGGGUUGGCGCAGCAGUAACAGGUUCUCUUUUUGAAGAAAAUUACUGCUGUGAGACUAUUGUUAAUUUUCCAUCUCAAGAAAUUAAGAAAUAUUAAUGUCCAAUUAUAAUGCAAGAAAACUUGUAUUCCUUCAAGACUAAUAAAAAGACAAUAAAAAUCCCAGUAUUAUUUUCGAAAAGAAGAAACAAAAUUGAAAUACUGAGACAUAUAAGAGAGUUUAAUUUAUGUUAGGUAACGUUUAAUUUCUCAAAAGCCAAAGCAAUUUCAUCGAGAAUAUUAUCUCACGAUCUGGAAAAAUAAAUAAGAAAAAAAAUAUCAUCUAAAAAUGCUUCAUGAGGGUCACAAUGUUUCAUUUUUUAUAAAAAGAAUAGAGAUAGAAGAUCAAAUAUAUAUAUAUUUUUUAUUUUUAUAUGUUUUUUGAAAUUAUUUUUAGUUCAAUACCUCUUUUUUUUUAUUUAUAAUUUUUUUAAAAUGAUAAUUAUCUUUAUAUAAAUAUAUAUUCUGAAAUCAAUUAUUUUUUAAGUGUUUUUUUUUAAUAUGAAUAUCUAAAUCAAUUUAUCUACUAAUUUUAUAAAUUAUAAAAUUAAUAAUUAUAUAAAUUUUUAAUAGUAUCGAGAAGACUUAAACUUAUAUCUAUAAAAAAACAAAUCUAGAAUCUUACUAUUUAGAUUUUAAGAUUUGUCUUUUUCAUCGUGUAGUAACCCCCGGUCCCUGUUAGCAGACUCCGAGACCGCGCUCGCAUAUUUUCUCCAAUGUGAUUCUACCUCUUUUACUAAAAAUAUGUCCACAAAAAAAGUGAACCAUCACCGAGGCAUCACCAACAAAAACACGCGCACAAAAACACCAAGACAUGCCGAGACAUGGCACAAAAGCACCAAGACAUGAUCAGUUCUAAUUAAGACAUGGCACAAAAACACAAGACAUGAGCAGUUCUAAUUAAGAAAUGCCACAAAAACACCAAGACAUCACCAGUUCUAAUUAAGAGCACACGAAAACACCAAGAUGACCAGUUAGUUCUAUUUAAGGGCACCGCACCCAAACCUUGUUAUACAUACUUACAUCUCCUUAUUCACAAAAUUAAGCAUCCUCUCUUGCUCUGCUAACUUGUCUCCACCUGCGUUUCCUCCUCAAAUUUGGUAAUAGAAUCAAUGCGCUCUCUUUCUAAUACUUGAGACAUUACUGCUUUUAUUUUCUUCUAACUAAUCAUUCCUUUUUGUAGUUAAUUUUAAGCCAUGAAUGGUUACAUCCUACACCCCCCUGCACAAGACUUGGCCACAGCAGGCUACUCCUCAGCUGCUAAAGGAGGGCUUGCUGGUGUCCUCGUCAUGCUCCUUCUUGCUAUCGUAUUUUAUGUAUUCUUCAAGUUCCGAAACUGCUCCAUGAAAUUUGAGAUGGAUGUUGAAAUGCCAUAAAGGAGCGGCCAUGCUGCUGCUGGGACAUAAGACAAUGAGAUUCUUCUAAUUUUCCAAUAUUAAUGUUUUCGUAUUAAAUACUCGGGCGUCUCAACCCUUUGUUUUUGGUUUCAUCAUCUGUAUUGCCGCAGAUAAAUAUUUGGUCUCUUUUCUCAUAACAAAACAAUUCCAGAUAAUUUGUACCUUUUAUGGUGUGAAUUUUGUGCUGGAGUUGGACUGAUAUCUUCCAUUAAAAUCGUCAAAGCAGAUAAGGAAUUGUGGGCUUUUUCUUUAAUUUUUUUUUUGUGGGUUUUAACCACGUCUAAGUUUCUUAUUUGCUGGGGCUUAACUUUAGGAACUUUCUUUUUAUAGUCUCUUUUUAACAAAAAGAAGGUCGUCCUUCGACUGCAUUCGCUUCUUCUUCUUUUUUUCGCUCAACUUCCGCCGCUGGUGGGGUUACUAGCGGCGUGGUCCUGGACGGUUGCGUUGGCUGUCGUGAUAGCUUGAGUCUGUCGGAGUUCUCGCUUUUCGUGUUCUUCUUUUUUUUUUUUUUUGGCUCCAGGCAGCUGGAUCCUUUCGUUGUUGACGGCUAUGCCGUGGUUUGGUGGUUAUGUUGGUAACUGGUUCAAUGGCUAUGUUGGUAUUGGGCUUGCCAUGGCGGAAUAGCGCUGGGCAGUUGGGUGUUUUUUUUAGAAGUAGAUGAGAAUUGCCAGGGGAGAUGGGUUGCGGUGGCGGUCCGUGGGUUUUGGCUUUGUGGAGUACAGAGGCAUUAAUCUUCUACUACAAAGAAAAGAAAUAGCAACCGCGACCUGGAGGAAGGGAGAGACAGAAGGAGAUUAAAAUUAUCGACCUUGACUGGUAAUUUUCUUUGAUUUUCUUAAAUGGAUCUUUGAAUUAAUUGUUUAUUAUUACCUAUAUUGGUUGGUUGAUAGUUCCUCCCCGGUGGAGGAGUGUUGCAGUGAUGGGCAUGCUAAUAUUAUGUUUUAUCAACCGAUUGGUUGAAUGAAAUGAAUUGGCACUCUAUGGAAAGGAGCAGGACAUGGGAAUCGAAGCAUUGGAAGCCAUGCUUAUGGAUAUGAUGGUUUUAGAGGUGCUCCUUCCCUUCUUUCUUUUUUAUUUUUUCAAAGUAAACAAACCAAUGAUAUGCAAUUGCAGAAAUUCAUUCUAGCGAGAGUGGCCUUCAUACUUCUAACCAUCGCUUCAAGAUACUGCUGUGUUUUUUCUCUUCCCCGGAGUUUGGUCACGCUCUUAUGCUAUGCUCCUUUAGUCAUGCUGUUUUGGAUUCUUAGCUCGAUCAGUUUUUUAUGACCAUGAAUAACAUUACCUAUCUUUUGCAGGGAAACAGAAGCUGCUGGAGGACUGCACUGCCACCCCAAAUCCAAAUUGUGGAUGCAGCCACUGUUAUGGAAAUGGAUCAAGGAGGUUUACUUUUGGAUCCAGGCAACCUUUUAGUUUUUCUGUGUAUAAGACAUGUAAUGCUUUAAAGGAUUUGAAGCAACUCAUAAAACUGAUUUGUUGUUUCGCUUUUUGAUUUUGAUGCGAGGAGCUGUAUUUGGUAGUUUAAGACAUGAUUAAAAAUAUAGUUUUUUGAAUAAAAUUACUGAAGAUAGACUGUUGUCAAUUUUCCAUCUCAAGAAAUUAAGAAAUAUUAUUGUCCAAGUAAAAUGCAAGAAAACUCGAGUUCCUUCAAGUCAUCUCUAUGUUCUUUAACAAAUUAUGGUGACAGUUUCACUUCAAACCCUAAUUGCAAUUGAAUCGCCAAAUGAUGGAUCAGAAAUACUUUGUUCUAAAAAUGUUUCCUCCUCUCGAAGGCCCACAAUCGCAAGGGCUAAGAUAACAAAGAAACUUAGCGAGAAGUCAAGGCCCAAAACAAUGAGACCAGAUAGAGAUUUCAGACGAAGCAUGCAAAACAUAGUGUAUUAUACAGUUUAUACCUGACCUAACUCUUUUGAGUUUGAUUACGCGUCAAGCUCAAGUAAUUAUAAGCAAAUGAGAUCUAAAAAUAAUAAAAAAAUGGUAUAAGUUAUAAUUCUUAAAACAAUCUAAUAAUUAAAAAUAAAAUUAAAAAAGAAACUAAAUAAAAAAGGAUUGGGUUGUCAAAAGGUGAAUUAAAAAGAAAAAAUAAAUAAACAAAUGAAAGAAAGAAAACACAAGACACUAUUUCAACAAAUAAUUUUUUAUGAAUGUAACUGCAGCUGUGGUUCUUUCAAAAAUCCAAACUUUCCAAAUGAUUCGGCGCCAUGACAAAUGCAAUUCUUGAGAUCUUGUGCCAUCUUUCCAGCAUCUUUGGUGAAGAAAUUUACUAAUUAAUGCACAUAAAAUGACAAUAAAAACUCCAAUAUUAUUUUCAAAGCUCUUAAAAGAAAAGCAAAAUUGAAAUACUAGGGCAUAUAAGAGAGUUUUAUGUUAAGUCUGGUUUAAUUUCUCAAAGGUCAAAGGAAGCCUUACUGGGAUGAGGGAUGAGGGAUGAGGGAGGAAAAAAAGAGAGAGAAGGGAAGAGAGAGAGAGAGAGAGAGACAACCAAUUCAAACCGAUAAUCCCAUUGAUUCAUUUUGUGUGAGCAACACUAAGUUCUUAUCAAACGUGGCGUUGUCAAACGAGAUUGAAGGCACGUUUAGAACAACUGCAAGUUAUCUAAAUAAAAAAGUGUUUGAAAUGUAAUGCAAACUAUAUUUUUAAAAAUUUUAAUUUUUUUAUUUAAAAUAUUUUAUAUAUAUUUUUAGAUAUUUUAAUAUAUUAAUAUUAAAAAUAUUUUUUUUUUUAAUACAUUUUUAAAUAAAAAAAUAUUUUAAACCACCAUUAAUACUAUAAUUUCAAAUAAAUUGAAAUGCUUUGUUAAUUCUACGAGUAGGAUGCACAUUGUAUCCGUAACUCCAUAAUGCAAUUUGAUGUGAUUUCGUGGUAUAUAAAUAUUCAAGGAUGUAUAAGAAAAUUGAAUAAUCUAUUUACACUCAGAAUCAUUUAAAAUAAAACUCUCCUGUAUUUUGAUUCUUCUUCUUUUAUAUAUUAUUUUUCUGAAAUACUUUGUUAAUUUAGAUAUCAAAGAAUUACCUAUCCUGUAUAGUUUUUAAGGAACAAGAACUUAUAACAUGAUUUUUCUAGUGGACUAGGCCAGCGUGCCUCCUCUCAAUCAUGGAAUUGUUUAGUUUAAUAGAGUUUUUAAUAGUAUUAAUUUGUUUUUUUAAUAAUAUUUAUCAGAUAACUCUAAAUCAAUUACAGAAAAUAGACCAUAUUUAUAUAAUUUAAUAAUGUAUAUUAAUUUUCUUAGGCGAUCUGUGUUGCAUAAGAAGUUUAUAUUAAGCUAAGAAGCUUGUUUUAAUUUUUAAUUUUAAUUUUAAGAUUGCCUGAAGGGGGAAUCUGUGCGGGUGGGUCCAAACCCGACAGUGGAUGGAUACCAAUUGGAUGUGUCGUAGAUGUAGCUAUUUUUUUGCCCGGAGCGCUGCAGCGCGGCCAUAAUUUAGUUAAACGAUAAUUUAGAAAUUAACCAAAGAGGAAAAUAAAUAUAGGGGGAAAAUAAAAUUAUGCUUUAAGAUGUGGAUUUAUUUUAUUUUAUUUUGGGAUGAUCAGGUGGAAGAUUAUUUAGGAGAGGGAGGAAAUUAUGUUUUAAGAUUAAUAUUAGUGAAAAGAAAUCUUGGAUUAAUUUUUAAAUAAAAUUACUGCUGUUAAACUAUAUUCAAUUUUUCAUCUCGGUAAAUUAAGAAAUAUUAUUGUCCAAGUAGAAUGCAAGUAGUUAUAUAUAUAUAUAUUAAAUUAUUAUAUUAAUCUCAAAAUGUAUCUAUGUUUUCUUGGGGCAUUUUCAUAUUUUCCUUUGGGUUUUUUUGCUGCUUAUUUUAUUUAAUACCCACUAAAAAAAUGCUUGGUCAUUCAUUCUAGUCCCUUCGAAAGUUAUUUGGACCUUUAUAUUUACUUGAUAUUUUUUAUAAAAAUAAGUUCUUAAUUAAAGAAAAUUUAUCCUCAUAUUUUUUCAUAACAACACUUUAAUCCCUAUAUUAAUUUUAUUUUAAUUGAGUCUAGGUGCCCACAUCAAAUGCUCCGUUCAUUAACAUUCUAGUAAUGGAUCAUAGGUUGAAAUAAAUCCAUGUGAGCGUAUGCAUCAAUUCUUAGUGCCUGUUUGGCAUUGCGGUCAAACCGGUUUUUUGAAAAAAUUCAAAUUUUUUUUUUUUUACUAAAAUUGAGUGCGGUUUGUACUUUUUGGAUCGUUUUGAUGUGCUGAUGUCAAAAAUGAUUUUUAAAAAAUGAAAAAACAUUAUUGACAUGCUUUUCGACACGAAAAGCUAUUUGAAAAGCAACCGCUACCACACUCCCAAACACCCUCUUAAUCCUAAGCCUCCGUGGACUAAAAUUAGUAGACAUGCACAUACUGCUCUUUGAAUAAAGAGCAAACCUCAAAAAUACUAAAUUAUUUAUAUUAAUUUUACCCUCAUGAUCUUAAGAAAAAUUAAUCAAAUACUUCUAUAUAUUUUAAAGCUUUCUGACGAUGUUUUUAUUUAAAUUAUACUGUUUUUAAAAUGGUUUUUUUUUUUGUAGAGGAAUUAGUGUUUUAUAUUAAAUAUCUCAAUAUAAAAUCUUAAUUGAGAAGUCAAUAUAAUGUAAUGGUAAGAUUGAUUAAGAAAAUAGUUUGGAUAUAAAAUUGAUAAUAAUUCAAUAAUUUGAUGAGAUAUUUGAUAUUUAGCUUCGAAUAAAUCUGUCUUUUUGUGUACUGUGUUUACAGGGAUCGGGAAGAAUAAGGAAGCAGGUUGGAAAUUUACAAUCGAUGCAACAGUAUACUUCAGUUGACUGGAUGUACAGGCUUGCAAAAGUCAAUAGUCUAAUCAAUUGAUUUAAACCUAUAGCCAUAUCUGACGCCAUAUUUCUUUUAAAAAAUAAUCACUUUUCUCUCUCUGAGCCCCAAGUUCUGGUUUUUCUUGUGUCUUAAUCAUUAUUUUUCUCUAAUUUAUAAGAUAAUUUUAGAUUCAAAGAAUAUGGAUAAAAAAAUAAUAAAUAUUUAGAUGUUGUUUAUUUUUUUAUUUUAAAAGUAUUUUUAAAAAAAUUAUUUAUUUAUUUAUUUUAAAAUAUUUUUAUAUAUUUUAAAAUUAUUUUAAUAUCUAACAUUAAAAAUAAUUUUUUAAAAUAAAAAAAUAUUUAAAAAAAACAAUUAUUACUAUAUUCACGCACCUCUGAAACCACUUACUAAUGUGUUUUGAACUUUUCCACCACCUAGAGGCUGCCUUUGCCAUCAUCUGCCUGCAUUUUACAAUUUACAUCCCAUUGAUAUUUAUCUUAUUGAUGAAAUACGGAGUUUCAUCAAGCAUUCGAAAUGGAAAUUUUAGUUUUUCUUAGUUUUUUUUAAAAAACAAUUUCUGACGGUGCAUUUUAUAUAUAUUUUUUAAAUUAUUUUUUAUUUAAAAAAAUGACACUGAAAUUUUUAAUAAUCUUAAUGUAUUGAUGAUAAAAAUAAAAAAUGUAUGAAAAUCAUCAUUUUAAUUAAAAAAUAUUUUAUAAAAACACAUUGCAUAAUUACCAAAAACAAAGCAUUUUGAACAAUGCGAAGGACAUGCGUUUUUGCUCCCGUGUGAUUUACUUUCAAAAGAGGAUGCAAAGAGCUAUUUUUAUAAAAAAAUAAAUAAAGUAAAGAAUUAAUUAAUUAAUUAAUAAAAAAAAUCUAAUAAAUAUCGCACUCAACAUCGCGAUGAAUUUAAAAAAUAUAAGUAAAUUUUUUUUUUAUAUGUGAAAUGACCUCCUUGGCUUAAAUAUCAAAAUAAAAAAGGAUAAAAAAUACAGGGUAAUCCUAUAAAAAAAAUCUUAGCUUAGCUUCAUACAAAUUGUUGGCCAGUGAAUCUUAACUUAGCUUCAUAUGAUGAGUUAAGUUUUUAAAAAAUUUAACAUUUCAAUAAAAAAAUUAUUCCUUUUUUUUAAUUUUAGUUUUAUCAUUGACUCUUUUAUAAAAAAUUUAUUUUUUUAAAUUUAGUCCUUCAAUUAAUUACAAUUUGAUUUUUAUUUUUUUUAUUUUUUAAUUUGUUUUUUUAAAUUUUUUAUAAAAAUUCUAUUAAUUUUUAAUUUUAUCACUCAAUUCAAGUUUAUCGUAUAUUAAAAAAAUAAUUUUACCAGUAAAUAACUAGUAGCAUUAAUAAUAAUAAUAAAAAAACCGUUUGAGCAUUCAAGCUCGCCUAAGAUUCAGUCCAGGUUUCCCAAUAAGAUUAUUUAUAAUACGGCCCGUGAGAUAGUUGUUCUGUAAAUACCUGAAAAAUAAAGGACUGUAAACCAGAUAGAGAUUAGGCCAAGAAAGCCCCAGGGGAGAUGGAAAGCAAGGGAGAUCACCAAAACCAAAAGUAGCACAAGCCCGACCCGACAGAACUGGGAGAGCAGACGUGGCAAAAGUAGGGAGAGCAGAACUGGAAGAGUCUUUUAGACACCGUUUGACAUUGCGUUUCAAAUAAUAUUUUAUUAAAUUUUAAUUUUUUUUUAUUUAAAAUUAAGUAUGGUUUGUAUUUUUUAGAUCGUUUUAAUUUGCUAAUGUCAAAAAUAAUUUUUAAAAAAUGAAAAAAAAUUAUUGACAUGUAUUUCGGUACAAAAAGCUAUUUGAAAAGCAACCGCUACCACACUGCCAAACACACUUUUAAACGUAGCAAAAGGCAUUCUCCAUUUAUACAUACUUACAUCAUUAAGCAUCCAUUCUUGCUCAUCUAACUCGUCUCCUCAAAUUUGGUAAUAUUAUCAAUGCGAUCUCUUUCCAAUCUCACUUGAGAAAUUACUGCUUUUAUUUUCUUCUAAUUAACCAUUCCUUUUUGUAGUUAAUUUUAAGCCAUGGAUGGUUACAUCCCACACCCCCCUGCACAAGACUUGAGUGAGGAGAGGCAUAAUCCAUAUAAAAUAAAAUAUUCAAUGAAAGGGACAAAACGGUGUGAAUUGUUAUUUAUCUUAUUGAUGAAAUACGGAGUUUCAUCAAACAUUCGAAAUGGAAAUUUUAGUUUUUCUUAGUUUUUUUUAAAAAACAUUUUUUUCGGUGCAUUUUAUAUAUAUAUAUAUAUAAUUUAAAUUAUUUUUUAUUUAAAAAAAUGACACUGAAAUUUUUAAUAAUCUUAAUGUAUUGAUGAUAAAAAUAAAAUAUAUAUAAAAAUCUUCAUUUUAAUUAAAAAAAUAUUUUAGAAAAACACAUUGCAUAAUUACCAAAUACAAAGCAUUUUGAACAAUGCGAAGGACAUGCGUUUUUGCUCCCAUUGUUAUUUGGGUGUGAUUUACUUUCAAAAGAGGAUGCAAAGAGCUAUUUUUAUAAAAAAUUAAAUAAAGUAAAGAAUUAAUUAAUUAAUUAAUAAAAAAAAAUCCAAUAAAUAUCGCACUCGACUUCGCGAUGAAUUUAAAAAAUAUAAGUAAAUUUUUUUUUAUAUGUGAAAAGACCUCUUUGGCUUAAAUAUAAAAAUAAAAAAGGAUAAAAAAUACAGGGUAAUCCUAUAAAAAAAAUCUUAGCUUAGCUUCAUACAAAUUGUUGGCCAGUGAAUCUUAACUUAGCUUCAUAUGAUGAGUUAAGUUUUUAAAAAAUUUAACAUUUCAAUAAAAAAAUUAUUCCUUUUUUUUUAAAAAUUUUAGUUUUGUCAUUGACUCUUUUAUAAAAAAAAUCAUUUUUUUAUUUAGUCCUUUAAUUAAUUACAAUUUGAUUUUUAUUUUUUUUAAUUUUUAAUUUGUUUUUUUGGAUCUUUUAUAAAAGUUCUAUUAAUUUUUAAUUUUAUCACUCAAUUCAAGUUUAUUAUAUAUUAAAAAAAUAAUUUUACCAGUAAAUAACUAGUAGCAUUAAUAAUAAUAAUAAUAAAAAAACCGUUUGAGCAUUCAAGCUCGCCUAAGAUUCAGUCCAGGUUUCCCAAUAAGAUUAUUUAUAAUACGGCCGGUGAGAUAAUUGUUCUGUAAAAACCUGAAAAAUAAAGGACUGUAAAGCAAAUAGAUGGUGGGGCAGGGGUUCAAAAGCCCUAGGGCAGAUGGGAGAAAAGGGCGAAAAGGGGAGGGCGAAAUCGACGAAAAGGGGGAGGGGCGAAAUCGACCAAAAGGGACACAAAGACAAUAAGGGGCAAACAGUGACAAAACCGUAUCUCCUCUAUUUAAGAGCUCAAAUUCCAUUUUAUACAUACUUACAUCUCCUUGUUACUCACAACAUUAAGCAUCCAUUCUUGCUCUGCUAACUCGUCUCCUCAAAUUUGGUAAUAUUAUCAAUGCGAUCUCUUUCUAAUCUCACUUGAGAAAUUACUGCUUUUAUUUUCUUCUAAUUAACCAUUCCUUUUUGUAGUUAAUUUUAAGCCAUGGAUGGUUACCCCCCUGCACAAGACUCGGCCACAUCAGGCUACUCCUCAGCUGCUAAGGGAGGGCUUGCUGGUGUCCUCGUCAUGCUCCUUGCUAUCGUAGUUUAUGUAUUCUUCAAGCGCCAAAACUGCCUCGAGGAGGGCGACCCCGUGAAGGUUCAGGUGAUCAAUAUUGUUGAAAUGGGAGAGAAGCGUGGGAAAUAAGGAGGUACCAUACCAUGUAAUAAGAAGUUGAAGCUAAUUAAGAUUCAUACAAAUGAGAUUUUCCUAAUCUUCCCAUAUUGUUUUUGUAUUAAUUGCAGGAAUCCAUGAAGCACACGGAUGCCUCGACUGCUCCUUAUUAGUUAUAUCUAUUGUAUUGUUGCAGAAUCGAACCGUUUUAAUUUGUACUUUAUAUUUAAAUAAAUGAUUGUGUGAAUUUCGUGUUGGACUUAAACUUAAUAUUGAAUUGUGUUGCUGCCACUUUAUUUUAAAAUCGUCAUAGCAGAUAAUGAAUUGUGGGCUUUUUCUUUAUUUUUUAUAUUAUUAUUUUUUUGAUUAACGUUGGUGUCCGGGCCAGCUUGCGCGUACCACGAUUAAUCUCACGGUUCACUGAACAUCCUGCAAGCCCAGUGAACAGGUAAGACACCGCGGAGGUGACAGGGCAUACCGCACAGGGAGAACCCAAUAAAAAUAAGAGGAGAAUAAACUCUCCAACCCCACCCCUACUGGAACUCGAACCGGAAUUUGAAGAAAGGAAAGCUGCCUCAUGUAACCACUGAGCCACACACCUGUUGUUAUUUUUUUAAUAUUACUUGGAGUGGGGUUUUACUAUUACCAAUUUACUGUGUUGCUGCGACUCUUUUUUUUUUUGACCACGUGUAAUUUCUUAUUUGCUGGGGCUUGCUUUAGGAGCUUACUUUUUAUAGUCUCUUGGUCGUCCAUAAAACAAACACUCACCGCAACAGUCACAGGCCAAACUCUUUGUUAAAUUGAUCGCAGAUCACACUCCAUGUCAAACCGAUGGUGUUUAGGUGCGUUGAGCGCCGGAUCGGUGCCAACUCCAUCUCCUCUUGAUGAGGGCGGUUUUUCUCGUCGCCAUCCAACGAGGGAUGUCCAGUCUUUUUGCCUUCCGUUGCUUUCCCUUUUGUCUUUGCGCGACUUUCGCCGUUGGUGGAGUUACUAGUGGCGUGGACCUGGACGGUUGCGUUGGCUUCUGUGAUCGCUUGAGUCUGUCGGAGUUGUCGCUUUUCGUGUUCUUUUAUUUUUUCCCGAUCCUGGCAGCUGGAUCGUUUCAUUGUUAACGGCUAUGCCGUGGUUUGGUGGUUAUGUUGGUAACUGGUUCAAUGGCUAUGUUGGUGUUGGGCGUGCCAUGGCAGAAUUGCGCUGGGCAGUUGGGUUUUUUUUUUUAGAGGGAGAUGAGAAUUGCCAGGGGAGAUGGGUUGCGGUGGUGGUCCGUGGGUUUUGGCUUUGUUGAGUACAGACUACAGAGGCAUUAUUCUUCUAUUACAAAGAAAAAAUAGCAACCUCGACCUGGAGGAAGGGAGAGACAGAAGGAGAUUAAAAUUAUCGACCUUGACUGGUAAUUUUCUUUGAUUUUCUUGAAUGGAUCUUUAAAUUAAUUGUUUAUUAUUACCUAUAUUGGUUGGUUGGGAGCUCCUCCCCAGUGGAGGAGUGUUGCAGUGACGGGGCAUGCUAAUAUCUAUAUUUUAAUAACUGAUUGGUUGAAUGAAAUGAAUUGGCAGGCUAUGGAAGCAUUGGAAGCCAUGCUUAUGGAUGAUGGUUUUAGAGGUGCUCCUCCCCUUCUUUCUUUUUGAUUUUUUCAAAGUAAACAAACCAAUGACAUGCAAUGGCAGAAAUUCAUUCUAGCGAGAAUGGCCUUGAUACUUCUUUCAAGAUAUCAAUAUCUCCACAGGUUAGGCUGUUCAUCAUGGUGUCGUGUUUUUUUCUCUUCCCCGGGGUUUGGUAAUGCUUUUAUGCCAUGCUGUGCUGUUUUGGAUUCUUAGCUCGAUCAGUUUUAUUUCCAGUGGGAAAAGGAGGUGAACAUGGAGCUGUGAGUUCUAUGUUAUAAAAAAAUAAUUUAAUUAAAAAUACUUAGUAUGAAUCCUUCUUAUCAAAUUUAAUAAUAUAACACAAUUUUUUUUUAUUUUGAUGGUUUAAAUUAAUAUCAAUAACAAGUUUAUUUUUACUGUCGAAAUCCAACGAUUUUUUUCUCUUAAUCAGGAAUAAAAAAAUAAUAAAAAUGAACACCUAUAUCAAAAUAAAAUUUCUCAAAACUUAUGAUAUGCUAUUAUAUAUCCUUGUUUUUCAUUUUGAUCUCUUUUUUAAUCCUAAUUUUUCCAUAAAAGGUUAAAAUUAAUUGCUUCUUAAAUAGUAAGAGAAUAAUAAAUAAAUAAAUAAAUGAAUAACAGUAGUAAAUGUACAGUGAAGUAUUUUUUUUUUUGGAUACUCCGGAUUAUCAAAAAAAAAAAAAACCCGUAUCUUUUACUAUAUGUCUUUUUGGCUACGGGAUCACGACGUCUGUGGUACCAGUUGUGAUCCGAGAUGGCCACACCAAACUUGGUCACAACCCCGCUCAUGUCCUAUGAAAGAAUAAAAAAAAAAGCAUAUAAGAGAGUUUUAUGUUAGCUACAGUUUAAUUUCUCAAAAGCCAAAACAAUUUCAUCGAGGAUAUCAUCUCACGGUCUGGAGAAAUAAAUAACAGAAAAAUAUCAUCUAAAAAUGUUUCCAUGAGAGCCAAAAUAUCUCAUUUUUUAUAAAAAGAAUAGAGAUAGAAGAUCAAAUAUUUUUUUUUUAUUUUUAUAUGUUUUUUGAAAUUAUUUUUAGAUUAAUACCCCUUAUCUUUUUUAUUUUAUUUAAAAUCUUAUUUAAAUGAUAAUUAUUUUUAUAUAAAUUUAUUUUUUAAAAUCAAUUAUUUUUAAAUUUUUUUCUUUUAUUAAUGUGAAUAUUCAGAGUGAGGCAUAUUUUCUCCAAUGUGAUUUCUAUUUCUACCUCUUUUACUAAUAUGUCCAUAAAAAAGUGCACCAACAUUGAGGCAUCACCAGUUCAAUCACAAAAACACCAAGGAAUCAAACGCGCACUAAAACACCAAGACAUGCCGAGACAUGCCACAAAAACACCAAGGUGACCAGUUAGUUCUAUUUAAGAGCACGCAAACUUUCCCCAAAAGAGGCCUUGCUUAAGGAGUUCAUUUUUCCAUUUUCCAUUUUCCAUUUUCCUUUAAAACCCUCCUAUUUGUUUCCUUAUAUUUAAGGACACCGCACCCAAACCUUGUUAUACAUUCUUACAUCUCCUUAUUUAAGCAUCCACUCUUGCUCUGCUAACUUGUCUCCUCCUGUGUUUCCUCCUCAAAUUUAGUAAUAUUAUCAAUGCAUGCGAUAUCUUUCUAAUCUCACUUGAGACAUUACUGUUUUUAUUUUCUUCUAAUUAAUCAUUUCUUUUUGAUGUAAGCCAUUGAUGAUAUCUAAUUUGUACCUUUUAUGGUGUGACUUUUGUGCUGGAGUUGGACUGAUAUCUUCAAUUAAAAUCGUCAAAGCAGAUAAGGAAUUGUGGGCUUUUUCUUUAAUUUUUUUUUUUUUUUUUGUAAUUUUCUUAUUUGCUGGGGCUUGCUUUGGGAGCUUUAUUUUUAUAGUCACUUUUUAACGAAAAGAAGGUCGUCCAUAAAACAAACACUCACCACAGCAGUCCCAGCCGAAGUCUUUGUUAAAUCGAUCGCAGAUCCCACUCCAUGUCAAACCGAUGGUGUUUCGGUGCGUUGAGUGUCUGAUCGGUGCCAACUCCAUCUCCUCUGCACGUUGACGAGGGCGGUUUUUCUCGCCGCCAUCCAACGAGGGAGCCUUCGGUUGCUUUCGCUUCUUCUUCUUUUUUUAGCUCAACUUCCGCCGCCGGUGGAGUUACUAGCGGCGUGGUCCUGGAAGGUUGCGUUGGCUGUCGUGAUAGCUUGAGUCUGUCGGAGUUUUCGCUUUUCGUGUUCUUUUUUUUUUGGCUCCUGGCAGCUGGAUCGUUUCGUUGUUGACGUCUAUGCGUGGUUUGGUGGUUUUAUUGGUAACUGGAUCAUGGGUUGUGUUUUUUUUUUUUUUUUCAAGAGAGAGAGAGGUGAGAAUUGCAAGGGGAUAUGGGUUGCGGUGGUGGUCCGUGGGUUUCAGUGCGUAAAGUGUGGGAUCGGUGCCAGCUCCAUCCCCUCUGCGUGUUUAUGAGGGCAGUUUUUCUCGUCGCCAUCCAACGAGGGAUGUCCAGGCUUUUUGCCUUCCGUUGCUUUCCCUUUUGUUUUCGCGCGACUUUCGCCGUUGGUGGAGUUACUGGCGGCGUGGAACUGGACUGUUGCGUUGGCUUCCGUGAUCGCUUGAGUCUGUCGGAGUUGUCGCUUUUCGUGUUCUUUUUUCCCCGCUCCUGGCAGCUGGAUCGUUUCGUUGUUAUCGGCUAUGCCGUGAUUUGGUGGUUAUGUUGGUAACCGGCUCAAUGGCUAUGUUGGUGUUGGGCGUGCCAUGGCGGAUUUGCGCUGGGCAGUUGGGUUUUUUUUUAAGAGGGAGAUGAGAAUUGCCAGGGGAGAUGGGUUGCGGUGGCGGUCCGUGGGUUUUGGCUUUGUUGAGUACAGAGGCAUUAAUCUUCUAGUACAAAGAAAAAAAAUAGCAUCCGCGACCUGGAGGAAGGGAGAGACAGAAGGAGAUUAAAAUUAUCGACCUUGACUGGUAAUUUUCUUAAAUGGAUCUUUGAAUUAAUUGUUUAUUAUUACCUAUAUUGGUUGGUUGAUAGUUCCUCCCCGGUGGAGGAGCGUUGCAGUGAUGGGGCAUGCUAAUAUUAUGUUUUAUUAACCGAUUGGUUUGAAUGAAAUGAAUUGGCAGUCUAUGGAAAGGAGCAGGACAUGGGAAUCGAAGCAUUGGAAGCCAUGCUUAUGGAUAUGAUGGAUUUAGAGGUGCUCCUUCCCUUCUUUCUUUUUGAUUUUUUCAAAGUAAACAAACCAAUGAUAUGCAAUUGCAGAUAUUCAUUCUAGCGAGAGUGGCCUUCAUACUUCUAACCAUCGCUUCAAAAUAUCAGUAUCUCCACAGGUUAGGAUGGCUGGCUGUUCUAUCAUCAUGGUGCUGUGUUUUUUUUCUCUUCCCCGGAGUUUGGUCAUGCUCUUAUGCCAUGCUCCUUUAGCCGUGCUGUUUUGGAUUCUUAGCUCGAUCAGUUUUAUUUCCAGUGGGAAAAGGAGGUGACCAGGGAGCUGUGAGUUCUAUCAAGAUCUAUAUAUGGUUUAAAACCAAAGUCGAUAAUUUUAAUCUCCUCCUGUCUCUCCCUUCCUCCAGGUCGCGGUUGCUAUUUUUUUCCUUUGUACUAGAAGAUUAAUGCCUCUGUACUCAACAAAGCCAAAACCAAGGACCGCCACCGCAACCCAUCUCCCCUGGCAAAUCUCAUCUCCCUCUAAAAAAAAAUAAAACCAACAGCCCAGCGCAAUUCCGCCAUGGCACGCCCAGCACCAACAUAGCCAUUGAACCAGUUACUAACAUAACCACCAAACAAUGAAACGAUCCAGCUGCCAGGAGCGGGGAAAAAAAAGAACACGAAAAGCGACAACUCCGACAGACUCGAGCGAUCACGAAUGCCAACGCAACAGUCCAGGUCCAUGCCACGCCGCUAGUAACUCCACCAGCGGCGGAAGUCGGGCGAGAACAAAAGGGAAAGCAACGGAAGGCAAAAAGACUAGACAUCCCUCGUUGGAUGGCGACGACAAAAACCGCCCUCAUCAACACGCAGAGGAGAUGGAGGUGGCACCGAUCCCACACUUAACGCACUGAAACCCACGGACCACCACCUCAACCCAUCUCCCCUUGCAAUACUCACCUCUCUCUCGAGAAAAAUAAAACACACAGCCAUGGAACCAGUUACUAAUAAAACCACCAAACCACGGCAUAGCCGUCAACAAGGAAACGAUCCAGCUGCCAGAAGCCAAAAAAAACAGAAAAGCGAAAAAUCCUACAGACUCAAGUGAUCACGACAAUCAACGCAACCGUCCAGGACCACGCCACUAGUAACUCCACCAGCGAAGGAAGGCGCGCGAAAACAAAAGCGAAAGCAACAGAAGGCAGAAAGACUGGAUAGCGGGGAGAAAAACCGCCCUCAUCAACGCGCAGAGGAGGUGGAGUUGGCACCGGUCCGACACUCAACGCACCGAAACGCCCUGGGUUUGACAUAUCUGUGAUCGAUUUAACAAAGAGUUUGGCUGUGACUGCUGUGGCGAGUGAUUGUUUUAUGGACGGCUUUCUUCUCGUUAAAAAGAGACGGUAUUAAAAGGGUAGAUCCAAAAGCGGGCCCCAGUGGAUCAGAAAAUUACCAGGAAGUCCACACUGAUUUAUUACAGUGGCAGCGCAGUAAAUUGAUGAUAAUUAAAAAAAAAAACCCACUCCAAGUAAAGAAAAAAAAAUUGAGGGAAAAAACUCAAAACUCAUUACGUGCUAUGACGAUUUUAAUUGAAGAUAUUAAGUUUAACUCCAACAGAAAAUUCACACCAUCAUUUACAUAUAUAUAAAGUAAAAAUUAAAAUGGUCUGAUCUCAAAUAAUGAGAGAACAUACCAAUAUUUAUCUGCAACAAUACAGUAGAUAUAACUAUAAAAACCAACUGUCCAUGUUCCGAGUACUUCAUGGAUUGCUACCUUAAACAAAGAAGAAGUUACGAAAACAGUAUUGGAAUAUUAGAAGAAUCUCACUUUAUGAAUCUUAAUAGCUUCAACUUCUUAUUGCAUGCUACCUCCUUGCAUGCUCUUUCAGCAUUUCAACUAAGUAUCUCCAGGACGGACACCAGUCCUUCCUGGCAUUUCAACAUCCACCUCCAAUUUUACGGAGCAGUUUCGGCACUUGAAGAAUACAUAAACUACGACAGCAAGAAGAAGCAUGAUGAGGACACCAGCAACUCCUCCUUUAGCUGCCGAGGAGUACCCUCCGGUGACCGAGUCUUGUGCAGGGGGGUGUAGGGUGUAACCAUCCAUGUCUCAAAACUACAAAAAGGAAUGAUUAAUUAGAAGAAAAUAAAAGCAUUAAUGUCUCAAGUGAGAUCAGAAAGAGAGAUCGCAUUGAUAACAAUACCAAAUUUGAGGAAGUAACACAGGAGGAGAUACGCUAGAAGACCAAGGACCAGAUGCUUAAAUUUUGUGAACAAGGAGAUGGAUGAAUUGCAAGGAGGAAGCCCGUUUCCUCUUAUAGGAAGGGCUUUGAUGAUGCAGAUCUCUAUUUUCUAUUUUCUACAUUCCUUCGGUGGGGGCCACACCACUAUUGUUUGUUUGUUACUUUCACAAAAGCGCUAUUUGUUCGAGAAUCUAAUCUCACGAUUCGAGAAAAUAAAUAAUAAAAUGCGUAAUUACAACACUCCUCCACUGGGGAGGAACUACUAUCAACCAACCAAUAUAGGUAAUGAUAAACAAUUUAUUCAGAGAUCCAUUUAAGAAAAUAAAAGAAAAUUACCAGUCAAGGUCGAUAGUUUUAAUCUCCUUCUGUUUCUCCCUUCCUCCAUUGCUAUUUUUUCUAAUCUAAUUAAAUCAUUCCUCUUUUUUUUUUUAUUAUUCUAAUAUCAUGUCUCGAGUUAUUGAUUUAACAGGUUUAUUAAAUUUAAUUCAACUAUUUUUUUUUAUUAUUUUUUAAUAGUUUUUGAUCUUGAAUCGAUGAUCAUAAUCUUGGAUUUUGUAUUUCUUUUUAAAUAUAAAUCAUUUCGAUAUUUUCUUUAUAAUAAAAAAGGUUUUGACAACCCUACUUGGUUUUGCUAAUACUUUAUUUUUUAAUUUUUUUAUUAAUUUUUUUAUUUCAUUCUUCUAUAUUUUUGUUGUAGAAGAUGAUAAUUAUUAUUAUUUUUAUUUUUUUUCUAUGGUGUUGAAUCAUGAUUUUUUUUUUAUUAUUAUUCUUUAAAAUCCAAUAAUUAAUAGCCCCUGGGUAUUCUUUUUUUACACUGCAGAAAAAGAUCAGCUUGGCCUACAGUGAAACUCGGGCUAUCUAUAUUUAGCAUGCAAAUAUAAACAUACACUUUAUCUAGCAAUCAAUCCAAAAGCAAAAAAAAAGAAUAAAAUAAAGGGUUUCGUGGUAGUUUUAUGGAGGGGCGAAACUUGGAAACCUUUUCAGAGGCGCCACGAUUAGAAAUAUUUUGGAGGAAUUAUUAUAAAGGAUGGAUCUAGCCAUUUGGGUGCGGUAACUGAGAUUGGAGGAGUUGGUUAGGGUGAUCUUUGCCUCCAUCCCAAACUUUUCCCAGUGGAAACAGCCUUUUCUACCUCAUCAAAUAAAGGAAGAGUGCAAGGAAGGGAGCGGAGGAUCACUUACGAUUUUUUUAGCCUGUUUAGAAGAAUAAAAAAACGCAAAACCAAAGCCCUUCCUAGUUAAAGACUAAAAGUCAAGGUAGGUAGCAUGUGAUUAACAAAAAGUUGAAGCUGAUUAAGAUUCCUACAAAUGAGAUUCUUGGGAAUCGAAGCAUUGGAAGCCAAUUUGAUUCUUGCAAUAAGAUUCCUACAUUUUCCUGCAAUUUGAUUCUUCUUCUUUCAUAUAUUAUUUUUUUCUUCUAUAACUUACUAAUUUAGCUAUAUAAAGGUCUUGUUUUGCAAGGAAAAUGUGAACUGCCAGCCAAGCCUAACUUAAGAAAAAAAAUAUAUAAUCAAAGUACGUUAACAGUCUGUUUUUUUUUUUUUGCAAAGAAAAUAAAACACUCACUCAUGAAGGUUUCAACGAAUUGGUGGCCUUGUUUCAUCGUCUCAUCACCCACUCUAGUUAGUGUGAAGCAUAACAUAUUAUUGAAUUUUUUUACUUUUUAAUCUUUGUUAACUUAAAAGGUGUUUGAAAGUGUUGUACUAGUUACUUUUUAAAAUGUUUUUUUACUUGAAAAUAUAUUUAAAUAAUUUUUUUAUUUUUUAAAAAAUUAUUUUUGACAACAAAAUAUCAAAAUAUCUAAAAAGAAUAAAAAUUAUUAAUUUAAAAUAAAAAAUUAAAUUAAAUUAAUUUUUUUUAAAACUAUUUUUAAAACACAAAAAAUAAACAAUAUCAAAUACAGCUUCCAUAAAACUGCAAAGUUGAUGUUGGUUCGAUUACAAAAUUAAUAACAGUUGUAGAUAAAUCUUUAAAAAUACACACUUGAAUAGAGAGAAAAAAAAAUACAUCCAUUCAAUUAGAAACUAAGUGAUUUAGAGCUUAUCUCAGGCAGCUAGCAACCUUCCCAACACCCCCCCCCCUCAUAAUACCCCCCCCCCCUCAUAAUACACAUUUAAGUUCCUGUAAUUUAUAAGGUAUUCAAUUCUAUAUAUCCCUAAAAUUCCAAAAUUUAUUUGGAAUUGGAUCCUUAAUUUAUAUUUUUCUCUCCUUUUCUAAGCUAAAAACCCCUCCUUUAUGCAUGUCUUGAUAACAUACAAAUCUUACUAUUUGAAUUUUAAUUGCAAUUGAAAUUUGCAAUGUUUUUUACGGGCCAAUUAUUACUGGUGCACAAAUAAAUGUGUCUUUUUUUAUUUGAAUUUUUUUUAUUUAAUCCAUUUCUAUUUGAUUUUGUUUUGUUUUUAUUUAAAUAUAGUAAUCAUUCUCUUGAUUGUUACUUUUUUUUGUAUUAUUGUUUUCUUGAUUUUUUUUAUUUCAAUUUUGUCUCUCAAUAUUUUAUUUCAUUUUUUUUUCUAGAUAUUGUUCUUAUUUUUUUUAAUAACUUUUUUUAAUUCUUUUCUUAAUUUGUUUUAUCUUUCAAUAUUGUCCCUUAGCAUUUUAUUUCACUUAUUUUUUAUUUAAUUUUGAUUCUUAUUACUCUAAUUAUUUUUGUAAUCUUUUUUUUUAUUCUAUUUUUUCUCUACCACUAAUCUUAUUACUCGUGAAUAGUGUAGUGAAUUGCACUGUUUGUUAUUUUUUAUAGUCUACAGUGCAUGAAAAGCAGGUUUUCAUAGCUUUUCAUUUACAGCAUUUUAAACGCAAAAAUUCUUGUGACCCUCAUGCACAGUAAAUCAAUUUUUUUUAUUAUCAAAAGGCUGCUGACUGCGUUUUAAAUAAAACACAACCGCGGCCGCGUAGACAAACGAAGUCUAAAUGUUGGGUUUAGGGUGGUCCAGACACAGGCUGUUUUGUUGGGUUCAGUUCUAAGUUUAAGAUUGUAAUAAUUGUUAUUUUUUAAAAUGAUUUUUUUUUAUUAAUUUAUUUUUAAUAUAACACGUAGAAUGAUUGAAUAUUAUAUAAAAAAAAUUAAUUUAAAAUAAAAAAUAUUUUAAAAAGUUUCAAAAAUUCUUUUUAAUUAAAAACAAAGAAAUGUUUUGUUUUGUUUUUUUCCCCUUCCUUCCUUAUUCCUCUUUGUUUCUACAAAUUAUGCUUAUCAACCCCGUAUUUUUUAAGAUAUAAUUUUUUUAUUUGAAUAUUAGGGAGUUAUUCACGUACCGCCUAAACACCAUAAGUGUCUCCCAUUCAUUUUUUUUCAAUCCCUAAAUUAUUUUGUUUGACAAAUAUGAUCCCUCAAGCAAUAUAAUUGUGUUUUAAUUUUCAAAAUUAGGCAUCAACCAAACACGUGUCAGAAUUUUUUCUCAAUAAAAUUGGAUUCUCAUAUUUAAGAAAAAAAAACUAUCAAGUUUAAUUUUUUUUUAAAAGACUUAAUAUAAAAAGAUAAAAUUAAAAAAGAAGAAUAAGAAGAAGAAAAAGUUGAAUCUCUCCCCUAUACCAUGUAAUUCAGUCACUGAUGUUUCCAUGAAAACAGGGCUCAAUACGUGUAAUUCCAGUACUGUUUUGACGACAAAGGAAUAUCAUUGGUGGGUUGUGGGGCAGUCAUUUGUUUGUCUCUGUAAAAGUGCAAAACAGGCAUAAAACAAUUAACGAUACUUCUUUUAAAUGGGAGUAAAUGCUCAUGAAGAUAUGAUUGAGCUUUGUUAAGAUAUAUAGAUGUUAUUUUGUGUUGUGGUACAUAGCUUUUUUUUUUUUUUUUUUUUUAUCUUAGAGAAAUAAUUGUUUGAUUAUAAAAAUAAAUUAUACCUUUUACACUAAGUUUCGUUUUAAAUCUUAAUUUUGUAUUGCUAAAAUACUAUACUUUUCAUCAUUUAUUUUACUUAGGUCAAUUCUUACCAGAGAAAUUGAAAUUGAUAUUGACUGUUCAAACCCCAAAACUAGCCAAAGCAAAAUAAGAAGAAACCGUAAAAGAAAAUAUAUAUGGAUUUAUGUUAUGCGGUAGCAUGGCUGAUGUUUAUCAUAUUUAGUUUCACUCUUUGUUUUCUUUUAAUUACCUUGCCUUUUGACCAUAGUCAUAUACAUAAUUUAUGAGAUUACAAAGAUUAUAAUUUAAUAAGUUACAUACACAAUGUUUCCAAAUACUACAUAAUAAUAAUAAUAAUAAUAAUAAUAAUAAUAAUAAUAAUAAUAAUAAUAAUAAUAAUAAGACAUCAUAGUAUGAUACAAAUCAAGAUUAAAUUACUAGAACAAUUUUCUUGUUGUUUUUAUUUUCAUUAACCAUUUGACCUCUAAUUUAAUCACUGGUAAUUCAAUUUAAAAUUCCCACUGAUUUUAAGAUGGUUUAUUAUUAUUAUCAUAAACCCUAAUGUUUUUAAUAACUAAUUAUAAAAGAAUAAAAUUAAAAUUAAAUAAUGAAAUAAAUAAAUAAAAUAAAUUUUUUUUACCUAAAAUAUAAAGAAAAAAAUAGAGUAAUUGCUUAUUUGAUGAGAAAUUUAUUUAUGGGAGAGGCAGGAACAAGAACUCAUAAAAAAAAAAAAAAAGUGGCAUAGUAGCUCAUGAAAAUAAUAAAAUAGCAAAGGUAGGAACGCGAAAUACUCUUUGUUAGUCAGGGGACUCUAUAUUUUUAAGCCGGUCCCCUUGAUUUGUUAUAAAAACAAAAGGGAAAUUAAGAAAAAUUUAGGGAAUGAGCUGUGUAUGUAUAUAUAUUAUAUUAUAAUAAUAACUUUUCUUUUUCCGUGCAGUAACAAUUCACAAACCUAAUAUAUUAAUAUUUUAAUAAAAAAAUUAAAAAAAUAAAAAUUAAUUGGACAAUUGCCCCUUUUUAUUUCUAUGUGGCUCCGCCACUGCAUAAGCAUCACUAUCAUAGUUCCUUUGGCUACAUCUAUUAUUUGGGCGGGGUUUAAUUUCAAAAGAGGAUGCAAUAUGUUUGGUUGUUUAAGAGCAUCUCUCUAUGUUUUUCUUUUUUUUUAAUAAUGUAUAUAUGAUUUUUUUUAUAUGCAACUCAAUGAAAAAACCAUUUUAAGAAAUAAACUAAAUUCUCGAAAGAACCAGUGAUGAAAGAAAGAAAAUGGUUGAAAAAAAUGUGGCAGAGCCAAGACCUAAUUCUAACAUAAUAGAAUAAAAAUUUAGCUUUUUUAAAACGGAAGUAUGACAUGACAAAACGAAACUGGCGUCCUUAAAUUACAUUCGUUAUCUAUUAGUUUUUGUUUUUGAAAAAUAAUUUUUAAAAAAUAAUUUUAUAAAUUUUUUUGUGUUUGUUUGCUAUUAAAAAAAUUAAUUAAUAGAAAACAUUUUCCUGUCAAGAAAAAAUUUAGCUUGAUUUCUAUGAAUUUUUUUUUUAUUUGGGUGGAAAAUACUUUCUAGAAGUUGUAAAAAAUUUAAAAAUAUCAUAUUAUUUACUGAUUAUGUUAAAUUUGGUCAUCGAACGUUUGAUUGUUAUAUAUUUUGUUUGAAUCCUUUUUUUUUGUCAAAUUCAUCCCUUAAAAUUUGAUUUUUAUAUUAAUUUUGAUCGUUAUUUUAUGAUUAUUAUUUAUUUUUCUCUUAUCUUUUUUUUUAUUGAAAUUUUUUAUCUAUCAAAUUUGAUCCUUAUUAUUUUGAUUGUUAUUUUAUUUAAAAUAAUUUAUGAAAUUAUAAUUAUAAUUAUUUUAAUUUCAUUAUAUUUUAAUUUUUUUAUCUGUUAGAUUUGAUCUUUAUUAUUUUGAUUAUUAUUUAUUUUAUUUGAAAUAAUUUAUGAAAUUAGAUUUUUUUCAAUUCAAUUCUUAUUCAACUUUUUAAUUUGUAAGAUUUGUUCCUUAUUAUUUUAAUAAACUUAAAAUAAAAAUAAAACAUUAAUAAGCUAUUUCCCAGUUUAUUUUCCAUAACAUAACCAAACACUGAAAAAUACUUUUUAAUUUACUUUUCAUUACACUAUCAAAUAUUAAAAAAUAACUUACUUUCUUGAAUUUUACUUUUCAAUAAAAUUAUUUUUUUAAAAAAAAUAUUUUUUUCUGAAAACAACCCGAUCCUAAGUUAAAACAUGGAAUGCUGGUCAUAAAUUGUUAAGUAAUCAAGACAGGCCACUAAGUGAAUCCUUGUCAGGGGUUGGCACCGCAGUACUAGGUGAUGGUCUUGUUUCUUCUGCUAUCCUUUUCCUCCUCUUCUCUUCUUCUACGGUUUGUGAUCCUACGGUUUGUGAUUCAAAUAGAGGGAGAAAUUGAAAAUUAAAAAAGGCCCCCGUCCCUCACCUCUCGCCCCGCACCAGUACCAGGGCUACAGACAACCAGUUCUAUUUAAGAGCACACAAACUUUCUCCUUGUUAUACAUACUUACAUCUCCUUAUUCACAAAAUUAAGCAUCCUCUCUUGCUCUGCUAGUGUUUCCUUCUCCAAUCUGGUAAUAUUAUCAAUGCGAUCUCUUUCUAAUCUCACUUGAGACAUUACUGCUUUUAUUUUCUUCUAAUUAAUCAUUCCGUUUUGUAGUUUUAAGCCAUGGAUAGUUACACCCUGCACCCCCCUGCACAAGACUCGGCCACAGAAGGCUACUCCCCAGCUGCUAAAGGAGGACUUGCUGGUGUCUUCGUCAUGCUCCUUACUAUCGUCGUUUAUGUAUUCUUCAAGCGCCGAAACUGCACCGUGAGAUUUGAGGUGGAUGUUGAAAUGCCAGAAAGGAGCGUCCAUGGUGCUGCUGGAGGUGGACGUUGAAAUGCAGAAAGGAGCGUCCAUGCUGGGAAAUAAGGAGGUAGCAUGCAAUACAAUCCAUGAAGUUUGUUUUUGGUUUUAUUAAUUGUAUUGCUACAGAUAAAUAUUUGGUCUGUUUUCUCAUAAUAAAAAAAUUCAAGAUCAGACCAUUUUAAUUUGUACUUUUUAUGGUGUGGAUUUUGUGUUGGAGUUAGACUAAUAUCUUCAACUAAUAUCGUCAACGCAGAUAAGGAAUUGUGGGCUUUUUCUUUAAUUCUUUUUUUUUUUUUACUUUACUAAUUGGCGUGGGUUUUUCUAUUAUCAAUUUAUUGCGCGGCCACUUUUUUUUUUUUGUUAUUUAUAUUAAUUUUACCCUCAGGAUCUUAAGAAAAACUAAUCAAAUACUUCCAUAUAUUUUAAAGCUUUCUGACUAUGUUUUUAUCUAAAUUAUACUGUUUUUAAAAUGGUCUUUUUUUUGUAGAGGAAUUAAUGUUUUAUAUUAAUUAUCUCAAUAUAAAAUCUUGAUUGAGAAGUCAAUAUAAUGUAAUGGUAAGAUUGAUUAAGAAAAUAAUUUGGAUAUAAAAUUGAUAAUAAUUCAAUAAUUUGAUGAGAUAUUUGAUAUUUAGCUUCGAAUAAAUCUGUCUUUUUGUGCACUGGCCUUCGAAGAAAUUGCUCUGUGUUUACUUGGAUCGGGAAGUUGGCUGGAAAUUUACAAUCGAUGCAACAGUACACUAAUUAUAAAUGAUCCAUGACUUGUCCUUCCUUCUUGUUUCACUAUACCUUUCCUUUAUUUUUUUGGCAAUCCACAUGCCCUGCACGGCUACCUUUUAUUGACACAAUAUAUAUAUAUAUUCUGUAUCUGAUUUAAAUAAAGUAAUUAAUUAAUUAAUUAAUUAAAAAUCCAAUAGACAUUAUUCUAAAAAAAAUACAUUCCAUUUCUUCUUUAAUUGUUUAACUAGGAUCGAUAGGAUUAUAUGAUAUGACCCAUGUAUUGGGAAAUCCGACUAUUGAUGUACUGAUAAUUGUCUAUUGGAGGCUAAGCAUACUAAUAUAAUAUUUAACGUGGUUCGACAAACCGCUUACAUCCAUGAAAGAUGUUCAUAUUAUUAGAGAUAGAGAAAUGAUACAGUACAAAUACAUGGAGGAGGAGGAUUACAUCCAAUCAAACUCAACUCCCAGCUCACAUUGCUGCCCUUGCAGCUCUUCACUUUCUCUCUUGGUCUCUCAUAAACUCACCACUCUUUCAAGAGUCUACUCCUCCAGGAGUUGCACCUGCCCUCUAUUCCACUCUAAGAACCACGCCUUACUUCUCCAUGAGUCUUUCGCUCUUAGUCUCAAGAGUCCAGGUAACUUUUAACCUUUAACCAUGGGGGUAGCCCAUUAAAGGUUAAUCCAUAUCUGUUUUGAUAUUCUGAGUAUUACAAUGCAAUUACCGAGCUCACCACCUUGACAAGAGUCAACUUGUUCUAGGAACCUACAUAUGCCCUCUGCUCCUACAUAGCAGUCGCGUCUUAAUGUUCCACAAGUCACCCACUUAUUAUCCAAGGCAAAUGUCUUCUAGCUCAUUGAUCUUUAGUAUAAGGGCAAUAUCCAUGAAAGUCAAUCCGACAUUUGUCUCCAUACUCAUCAUAGCCACUUCAUUGGCUAUCUAUACACCUGUCCACUUAUAUCUAGCCAUCACAUUAGCUCUGGGGAGUUCUGUAAUUGGGCUCCUAUCGUAGCCCUCACACCUUCCUUCUAAGGUGUCUCCGCUCGUUGUCAUGCGGCGGUCUGAACUUCGGCUUAUAUCGUGGCCCUCACACCUUCUCCUGAGGUGUCUCCGUUCAUUAUCAUGCGGCGGUCUGAACUUGGGCUCAUAUCGUGGCCCUCACACCUUCUCCUGAGGUGUCUCUGCUCAUCGUAGAGCGGUCUCAUCCUCCAUCUGGGAUGAUUCCAGUGGCUUCAAGAUUCUCUACCACCAUGUGGACUUGGAAGAGAUUACUCCUACUAACUACAUAGAAAGAGAAAGUUGUGGUAUACUCCUCGCAAUCCUCCACCUCGAUUUCUAUGUUUGGAGCUUCUACCUAUUUUUGCUUAAUAGCUCCACCCACACCAAUUCUUUUUGGUGUCUUCGCCUUUCAUAGGCGACCAUCACAGGUGUUUUCACCCCUUCAAUUAGGUGUUUUUGCAACAACUCAUCUUUCAAUCCUUACAUGCAUUGGAAAGGUCUUCGCCUGUUGUCUUCAUCAAGAGCACAAGAGACUUCUUGGUGUACAUCCCUUCACACAGUCUCUGCUCUGAGUUUCAUCUGGGAACUUUUCUUCUCCUUGCACCUGUUGUCUCAUUACAAUACCUCGUUGGAUCCUUCGGGUACUCCUGCACAAUCUCCGUGUGCCCUCGUGCAAUUUAUGUUCUCCAGAUUUUCUCCAUAUUCCCUGUUUAUGUUUGACAGUAGCUCAUCCUAUCACAACACCUAUCCAAGUCAAAAUAGGGUGUCAAUCUUUAUCCCCUUGUUGUAUUUCUCUUCCAUUAUCAGGGUCUUCAUCAAUUCUCCCCUCGAGAAAUUACAGUCACCGAAUCUAACUUCUUUGGAGAAAUCACCACUCCAUCAAAUUCUUGAUUAUACGGAACCUAAUUGUUCCCCUUGUGCCGUCAUCCUGCUAGUCUUUACCAGUUUCAUUACAAAUUAUUACAUAUACGAAAAUAAUAUCGUAUGGAUAAUCCUUUAACUAAGCAAGAUCCCAAUAAAGAUUGGAGGGGUCACAACGGUCCCGCUUAAAACCCAAUCUCCUAGCCAGAACUUCUUAGGCCAUAUCUAUCCAUCGUACUGCCUUUCCGUAUAUAUAACCAUUUGCUAGCUUUGUUGCGGCUUUUCUUUACAAAUAAUCUGGAAUAUUUUUUGUUUAAUACAUGAUUUCCCAACAUCUAACGAGAUUACUAGUGCUUAGAUUCGUCAAGAUUGGUCUUCAUUAGUUUUCACUCUCCACCUUAAAUCGUCCACAUGACCGGGUGUCCAGAGUAUUCCAAUUUUGCCUUCUCUCAAGGCAAUUAAAAUUUCCCCACUAAACAAUUCAGCACAUAUAAUUGGGCAAAUGUGUGCGCCUUCUUCUUCUUCAUCGACUACCAUGAUGACCUUCAGAUGCCUCCUGAUUGGGCAAUCUCUCUUUAAUAAUUCACCACCACCACUUUCGGUCUCAAAUCUUAACGAUUGAACCGUACCAUUGCAUUCGAAAUGAUCAAAUUAGCUGGAAACAAGUCUGAAAUUGUCCAAAUCACAUUUCAGACAGCAAAGAUUUGAUCAAAACAAUUCUGGCCUGAUGAGCAGCCCAGAUUCAAUCUCAGAUCCAGUUGCACGUAGGAUCAGCUACACAGAAUCCUAUCCCUUGGCCCAAAACACCUUGGCUUGUGGCUGAUGAUGUGGCAGAUGGGUCCCACCGUGUUGACGUGUCUACUGAUUGGUGGCUGACAUGGCAUGUCACCUAUGCAUGAUGACGCCAUGAUGAUGUCAUGUUGACAUCGUCCUUAUCCGGGUCAGUCACGUGGUCAUGUCAGCCCAUUCAGGCAAAGAAGACGCGUGGUAUGCGUGAGGCGCGUCUGGGCGCGUGGCCAACCAGCUCAUCGGCUCGUGGGGGCGCGUGCGGCCAUUUUCCACGUUAGAAUUUUACGCCGUUUUCACCGGUGUGCUUGUCUCUUCAUCCUUUACACGGUGGUAUGGUCAAAACAUAUUUUUGACAACUUUUAUUUUUGAGCAAAAUCAAACACCACUUUAAACCAUAAACUUUGAUAUCAAUUGUUGGGAAAUCCAACCGGUAAUGUACUGAUAGUUGCUAUUUGAAGGUUAAGCACACUAACAUAAUAUUUGGUUAAUUAUACCUAAUCUAUGGUUAGUGCAGUUUAACUUCCUUAUCAUAAUACUAUUUUAUGUUAACCUUUUACAAUUGUUAACAAAGUAUUAACACUAACAUCUAUUAAAAAAACAGAUAUCGUUUUCAUUAAAAAAAAAAAAAAAAAGCACUAAUAUCGAGAAAUUAAAUGUUCUAUAGUACAUUCGCAGCCAUUUCCAAACCUUUUCAGUUAUUUUGCUUUAUUUUCUAGCCAGCCAAACAGAUAUCAAACUAAAAAAUAUAGAAACUACAGAUAGAAACAGCGCAAAUCACGAUUCCUUGGUAAAUGUGUGUGUAAAAGAGAGGAAUAUAAUAAAAUAAUAUUUGUUUGUUUGUACUGUAAUCCCCCUCUUUCUCUCCAAUCCUGUAAAAAAUCUUAAUUUAAAUUUGUUAAAAAAAAAUUGAACUUUUUUAAUGUUUUUAGAUAUUUUAAUAUGUGGUAUUAAAAAUGCAAAAUAUUAUUUUGAUCAUCAAAUAGCUAAUCUAUAAAAACAUAGAAACUCCUAAAAAUCAGACAGAAUCAGCACAAAUCACGAUUUCCUUGAAUGUAUAAGAGGGAGGAAUAUAAUAAAAUGAUAUUUGUUUGUUAUGGUUUCGAGUGAGAGAGAGAGUGGCUCGUAGAGUUGGCAAUGUACUUUAAUCCCACUCUCUCUCUCUAAUCCUAUAAAAAAAUCAUAGCUUAGCUUCACAGAAAUUGCUGGCCAGUGAAUUUUAUAAAGCCAAAUUGUAUGUGUGAGAAAAUAGAAAUCAUCCCUCUUAAAUAUCCAUGUCUUUUUCAUCUCGAACACAAUUAUAAUAAUAAAUAUAUUAUUAUUUUUUCAUUGAUUUUUUUAAAAAAAUUAUUAAUUAUUAAUUUUACCAUUUAAUCAAUGUUUAUAUAUGUUAUGUUAUUAUUUUAGGUUUGAUCCUUAUUUUUUAAGUUUUUUUUUGUUGAAUUUAUUUUCCUUUUAAAUUUAAAUCUUCAAUAAAAAAAUUAUUUUUUUCUUUUAAUUUCUUAGUUUUGUCGUAUGCUCUUUCAUAAAUUUUUUAUUUAUUUUUCAUGUAUUUUUCAUUAAAGAUAUUAAACAAAAUUAUAAUAAUAAAUAUAUUAUUAUUUUUUCUUUGAUUUUUUUAAAACAAAAUUAUUACUUUUUAAUUGUACCAUUCAAUCAAAGUUUAUAUAUGUUGUGUUAUUAUUUUAGGUUUAGUUCUUAUUUUUUUAAGUUUUUUUUGUUGGAUUUAUUUUCUUUUUAAAUGUAAACCUUCAAUAAAUAAAUUAUUUUUUUCUUUUAAUUUCUUAAUUUUGCUGUAUACUCUUUUAUAAAAGUUUUAUUUAUUUUUAAUUUAGUUUUUAAAUCAGAAUUAUAUUUAAUUUGAUCUUUAUUUUUUUAAUUUGUAACUUGUUCCCCAUGGUAAAAAAUUGACUAAUUUUAAAUUUUAUCAUUCAAUUUAAAUUUAUUAAAAAUAGUUUUACCAGUAAAUUAUUAGUAGCAUUAAAAAAAAAAAAAAAAAAAACUCUGUGCAUUCAAGCUCACCUAAGAUUCAGUCCAGGUUCCCAAAAAGAUUAUUUAGAAUUCGGCCAGUCGGAUUAUUGCUCUGUAAAAACCUGAAAAACAAAGGACUGUGAAGGAAAUCGAGAAUAAGACAGAAGUUCAAAACCCCAUGCAGUUUCCUUAGAAUAGUUUUGAAACAAAAAAACAAAACCAAAAAAUAUUACUCUUCACUUGCUACUUAUGCACCGCCAUCUCCGUCUUCACAAACCCUAUACAGCUAUACUCACUGUUUUCAAAUAUUCGGUAAUGUUAUCAAUACUAUCCAUUUCUAAUCUUACUUCGAACAUUACUCAUUGUUUUCUAAUUAUUCCUUUUUGUAGUUUUGAGUUAUGGAUGAUGCCAACUUCUCCCCUCCUCCUGCACAAGACUCGGCCAGCGGAGGCUCCUCCUUAUAUGCUUAAGGAGGAGCUGGUCUCGUCUUUGCUCCUCUUUGCUAUCUUAAUUUAUAUACUCAUGAGAGGCCGCUGCAGCUGUACAACUGAGUGUCAUGGUGGUGGUGAUUCCAAGCAGGGCAGUGGAGGGACUCCGAAAGCCAUGCACUUUAAAGAAAAUUACCCAGCGAAAAAGGAAGUGAGAGCACAUAUUACUCCUUAGCUGCUAAAGGAGGAGAUGGUCUCAUCUCGCUCCUCCUUGCACCUGGAAACCUGAGUGCGAUAUUGUUGUUGGUGAUUCCAAGCCAAUAGAGGGACUCUGAAAACCAUGCACUUCCCAGUUCAGAAAUAAGCAUGUAAUUAAUAAGAAGUUGAAGCUGAUUAAGAUUCAUACAAAUUAAUGAGGUUCUUAAAAUUUUAUAAUAUUGUUUUCGUAUUAAUUGCAAGUCUUCUUCUUCGACGUCAAGGUAGCCAUCCAUGAAGUAUGCGUGGACAUUACGUUUGUUAAUUCUCUGCAGCAUGGAUACGCGCCCCGACUAUUGGUUUUAAUAAAAAUUUCAAGAUCAGACCAUUUUAAUUUUUACUUUAAUACAAGUAUAUAUAAAUAAUUGUGUGAAUAUUGUACGUGUUGGAGUUGAACUAUAUAAAUAAUUUUAUCUUUAAUUCUUUCAUUAUGGUUUUUUAAUUACAAUCACAAAACAAUAUCUUGUAUUUUAAUAAAUAUAAAAUAUAAUUUAAACAUCAACAUUCAAGGAAUGUACAACUAUUAAAAUAAAUAAUAUUUUAAAAUGAUAUAAAACUAAAGCCUUUUUUUCAAAAAAUUUAAUCUGUUUUUUCAAAUAUCUUCAAACAAAACACAACCCACUAAGAUGUGUUUGGUAUUGUGAUAGCUGUUGUGGUUGUUGUUUGAAAACAAUUGUUUUAUAAAAAGUACUUCUGGUUGAGCUUGAUUUGGUAUUUAUGUAUGUUUAGUUAAAAUUGUGGUUGAACAAAAAAUAGUUUAAUGUGUUUGGUUAAUAAUGCUUUUGAAAUUGAGAUUAUAAAAUAAUUUUAGAAAAUAUAUAUUAAUAUUGAUGGUUUUUAAUUUAAAUAUUGUAGAUUUAACUAUUGUUAUUACAUCAUGAAAUAAAUAAUACUUCAUAUAAAAUAUUUUUUUAUUGUUCCAUUAAACUAUCUACAAUUCCAUCACGUAUGAAAUACAUCCAAUAAGGACUAUAAUUUUUUUGAUUUCUUAAGCGCGCAACAAAAUCAGGUAAAAUAUAAUUAGGAAGAAAAUUGAGAUUGCAUUUAAAUUUUACAAAUACUAUUGAUUAAUACUUAAAAAUAUAUUUUUAUCAAUGUUUGAUAUCAUCAUUUUACACUUGAAGUAUUAAUAACUCUUUAACAAAAGUAUGUUUUAUAAUAACAAGUCUGAUACUAUAAGAUACCUUUAAUUUAUGGUAAAUAUUCAUUUUAAAUGCAGGCCUAUCACAUAAAUCAAAGGAUUGAUUGAUGAGUUUAACUACAGAAAUUUAAAAGACAAAGAGAGGGCCAAACUUAGAAAAGAGAUGUUGGUUCAGUCCAAACUAAAAUACUGUUCGGUAAUUGGAUCAUAUCUGGAGUUGUAGAUCUCGAAUUUAGAUCUUUUUUAUAUGGAUAAAAAGCUAAGACAUGGGCCUAAAACUUUCAUGGUAGUCCAAGAUUUAAAAAAGCCAUUUUCAAGUCCAAAUUGUAGCAACAACGGAGAAGUCCAAAUCUAUCUUGCAGCCUAGACACUGUUCAGCCCAUAUCUCGAGUUCUAGAAGUCCAAAUGACCUUAAUUUUUUUUCUUGGAAAGCUGAGACAAUUUCCUAGAACUUUCAUGAGUAAAGUUGGUUCAAACUCGUACGUUAUCAAUGACGUUUUGUUUAGACAACAAUAUAAGGAUUGUCAACAAGUCAAAAUGUGCUCAUCCACUCAACAAUUAUUCAUCAAAUCAAUAGUUUCAAAUUUUAACCUAUAAAAGGAGGCAUUUGCCAUGCAUUUAGGCAUCUUGGUUGUUCAUAUCAAGAUCAUGCUCUUUAUUUCUUUCUUUAUAUUCUUGUAAUGUUUAAGUUUUAUUUCAUGUUAUAUUUUUCUUAAUCUUUUGUUUAUGCUUUUAAUUUUCUUCACUAUACUUAUGUUCUUAUGUUGUUUAUUAUGUUUCUCUUCUUCAUUAUAUUUAGCUAAGUUUAUUAUAUUAAGGUGAAAAUGUUUCACUAAUGGUGUUACAAUAUGUAUAAUAUAAACUUAACAUGAACUUCAAUGUUUAUAUCAAAGAAAGUUUGUUAUUAAGAUGUCUUAUCUUUUUAUCUUACUAAUUCUCAAUAUCUUAUUUGUUAAAUGAUUAAUCUAGAUUUGUGUUAUAUAACACUUGGUAUAAUAAAUGCUUGACACUUUCAUAGCCAACUGUAUGGUAUAACCUACACAUGUGCUAUGAAAAGAACUUGAUUUGUUGUUAACAUAAGUUAGCAUCAUGAAUUCCUGACAAUAUUUAAAAGUAUGGUGUUACUUAAAUAAGAUAAUUAAUAUAAUCAUGUUAAAAAUUUAUAAUGAACUAUUAAGGACAAAUCAUCCGAUUGGAACCUUCUUUGCGUGUGGUUUCCAGUUGAUUAAUAAAAAGAGUUUAUACUAUAUUUAUUUAUAAUACUAUUAAUAGAUCCUCUAACCUUGACAAUUGUUUUAUCAUUGUUUAAUCCUUACAUCAAUAUCCCAUAAAAUUCUCAUAAACUCUUUAUUUUAUUUAAUAUAUAUAUUAUUUGUAAUUUAUAUAGUUCACUUCUCUGUGGUUCGACCUCGGUUUUGUCAAAUUAUUUAUUACUUUGACACUCCUGCACUUGCAAUAAGACAUCAAUCUUUUGGUCAUGUCAGCUACAUCAUCAAGCAAUCUUUAUUUAAUUUAUGUAGUGUUAUUUAAUAACAUUAAAUACUAGUUUUUUUAAAUAAAAAACAAUUAAAAUAUAUAUAUAUAUUUUUUUUAUUUUACUGGGUCGAAUCUGGUUCAUUUGAACUAAAAUCGUGAAGCUGGCUAUAUUAUUCAUGUUAAUUAAUUAGGAUGAACAGUAUGUAAAAACAUCAAUUCCCUGAUUUCGUACCAAGGAAACAUGGAGGACUCAUAAAUAAUAAACUUUUUUUUUUUUCACUAAACAACAUUUAUAUUUUAAACAAAACACUGACGCAAUCUCAUUACCCACCGUGCCUUUUUGCAUGGAGCAGUGGCGUUUCCACUUCUCUUUAAGCAACAUGUGCACUCUCCCGUUUCUACUUUUUCUGGAUGGAGAAAAAGAAAAGACGUUUUCGAAAUAACACAGGAGAAUAAAAAAGUGUUAUAAUACAAUUUAAUAUAAAAAAUCUAGUUGAGAUCGUGACGUCUGUGGGAGCAGUUGGGAUCCGAGAUGAUUACACCAACCUUGGUUAGAACCCCGCCCGUGUUCUAUGAAGACGUUCCGACAAAACAUCUAUAGCUGGGAGCCUGGGUAGUGGGUACCAUUGCGAAGGAACUGCCUUUUGCUCCUUUAAAUAAUGCAUUUAAUAUUUAUCUUAUUGAUGAAACACGGAGUUUCAUCAAGCACUUGAUAAAUUUUUUAGUUUUUUUUUUAAGUUUUAUAAUCUCUAUCACACUUCCCAAUCACUGGUCAGUUGAAUAUUCAUGCUAUCCAAACCGAAGCAUGCCAGUUAGCUGGAGUUUUGGGAAUUUGUUCCCUUGUCUUCGUCUUUCAAGCAUAGUUAUUAAAUUUUAAUCGGUCCAGGGAUUAAUCCAAAAUGCGGUCGACCGACUUGAUGACUAAAGUAGUUUGGGUAAAGCAAAAGAUUGGCAGUGUAAAAUUUUGAGUUAUUUUUUUAAUAAAAUUACUGCUGUUAAACUAUAGUCAAUUUUUCAUCUCAAGAAAUUAAGAAAUAUUAUUGUCCAAAUAGAAUGCAAGGAAACUCGUUGUUCCUUAUCUCCAAGUCCUUGAACAUAUUAUGUUGACAGUGAAGAAAGAUGAGGUAGAAGAAAGCGUGGCAGAGGCAAUCAAGAUCUUCUAACAAAAUAGACUAACAACUUACUCUUUUUAAGUGAAGUAUAUAACAUGGCAAAUAAAAUGCGUUUUAAAAAUGUAUCUUUUAAUAUUUUUAAUUUAUUGGUAUAAAAAUAAAUAAAUAAAUAUAUAUAUAUAUAUUGAUAUAUUUUAAAUAAAAAUACUUAAAAAAACCUCCGUACACACAAUAUCAAAAACUCGCUAAAUUAAAUUUGUUAUCUAUUUGUUAGUGCUAGCAUUAAUUGUUGAGUAUAUGAAACUUGUCUGUCAUCUAUAACAUGAAUAUGUACUGUUCUUGAGCCCCUCCCUCUCUUGAAUCAAACUUGGUUGUCUGCUCUAAUUAAAUUCAGUAACCCGUAAUUCAACAGCUAUUUGGAAAUUAAUCAAAGAGAAAAAAGAAAUUGAGGGGGGAAUUGAAAACUGGAAAAAGGGGGAUUUUUGUACCGGGAGAUGAUCAGGUAGAAUAUCACUUAGGAAAGGGAGGAAAUUAUGCUUAAUUUAAGAUUAAUAUUUGUGAAAAUGUUUUUUUUCGUGUUCUUUUUUGAAUAAAAUUACUGAAGAUAGACUGUUGUCAAUCUUUCAUCUCAAGAAAUAUCGGUGUCCAAGUAAAAUGCAAGAAACUCGAGUUCCUUCAAGUAAUCUCCAUGUUCUCUUAACAAAUUAUGGUGACAGUUUCACUUCAAACCCUAAUUACAAUUGAAAUUGCUAAGUCAUGGAUCACACAUAGAUUUUCUCCUCUUGAAAGCCCACGAUAACAGUGAGAAGUCAGGCCCAAAAUAAUGACACCAGGUAGAGAUUUGAAAAUGAGAUCCAAAACAAUGAGUAUUCAAAACACAGCGGGUCUGUGUUAGAUCCAAGUAACCUGUAUUUCGGUUUUUCCGAAAAAAUGAGUAAAUGAGAUCCAAAAAAAUAGUAUGAGGUAUAAUUUCCAAAACAAGUUAAGUUAAUAGUUAAGGAUGAAAUUAAUAAAUAAAUAAAUUAAAAAAGUAUGGGCUGUUAAAGAGUGAAUUGAAAAGAAAAGAAAAACUAAACAAAUAAAAGGAAAAAAAAAAACACAGAACACUAUUCCAGCAAAUAAUUUUUUUAUAAGUGCGACUAAAUUGAUUUAAUCCGCUUUGUCAAAACAUGGAACUGGUUCUUUCAAAAAUUCGAGUUGUCCAAAUGAUAUAUUCUGCGCCAUGAGAAAUGCAAUUCUUGAGAUCUUGUGCCAUCUUUCCAGCAUCUUUAGUGAAGACAUUUACUAAUUAAUGCACAGAAAAUCACAAUGAAAACUCCAAUAUUAUUUUCAAAGGUCUUAAAGAAAAAAAAAUUGAAAUACUUGGACAUAUAAGAGAGUUUUAUGUCAAGCGUGGUUUAAUUUCUCAAAGGUCAAAGGAAAAAAAUGAGAUUGGAGAAAAAAGCCCAAUGUAUGAGGAAAUUAAAAGGGCAAACAAUCCAAACCAAUAAGCCCAUUGACCCAUUUUGCGUCAGCAACACUAAGUUCUUAUCAAACGUGGCAUUGUCGAACGAGGUUCAAAGCAUGUUUAGGACCCCUGCAAGUUAUCAUUAUGAUAUCUAACUAAAUGUCUUGCUUCGCAAGUUAAUUCGGAGGACAUCUUUGUAAAUAAUUUGUUUUAAGAGUUUCAUCUAACUUGUUUGAUUUAAGAAAUAAAAAUAUAAAAUAAAUAUAUUUUUAAAAUAGUUUUGAAAUGAGUUUUUAUCUUUUCAAAAUAAGAAGAAAAAAAAAACAUGUAAUUUUUAUCUUUAAUAUUUUUAUCUCUUCUAUUUCAAACAAUAUCAGUAUAUAUCCUUUUAGCAAAAAUGCUGAGAACAAUUACAAGCCAAGAAUAGUACUAGUUGAUAGUAUUUGUUAUUGUAUUAGUAGUUAUUUUUUUAAGUGUGUUUUAUUUAAAAAUAAUAUAUUUUUUUUAAAAAUUAUUUUUUAUGUUAACAUAUUAAAAUAUAAAAAAUAAUUUUAAACAAAAAUAUUUUAAAUUUUUAUAAAAUACUAUUUGACGCUCGGAUAUGUAUUGCUUCGAGUUGCGCCGCUACCAUUCCUUACCGCGACUGUUUUUUUGUCCAUGUUGCUGCUCAUCUAACGUGUGCGUGUCCGUAGGGUUAUUGAAGUUUCUCACAGUCAUUAAUGUUUUUUGAAAUUUUAAAAAGCCUUCAGUCUUACGACGUAGCAGUAGCAGCAUAAGCACAUCAGGACAGCACUAAGCACAAAGAUAUAAAAUUAACAUUAAAACACUAAAAUUUAUAUAUAAUGUGUCCUCUGAAGCAUUUUUGGUGUUAGAUAAUGUGAGAAAUUAAUUCACGAUUGGAGGAAGGAGCGAUGGGUUUCUUUAUCCAAUAAGUGGUAAAUAUCAAAUACAAAUCCUUUGAAUUUGAAUUAUUUGUUUACUAGUAAGAAUUUGAAUUGCAAUUGAAAUUUCCAAUGUUUCAAUACAAUAUUUAACAGUUUUAUUAACAGAAUUUUUCUAUCGACAUAAGAUAUAUAUUUUAUCAGUAAUUAAUUUACCCACGAAAUCACCGACAGAAAUUCUCUGUCAGUAAAUCUUUUAUCGGUAAUUUUUUAUCCGUCAAUAAAUUCAUUGAUAAUAAAAAAAAUAAUUACCAAUAGAUUUACUGACAGAACAGAUGCGUACAAAAAAUUACCCAUUUCAUUCUGUUAGUAUAUCCCUCGAAAAAUACCGUUGGUAAUUAUUUAAAAACAUUUUAAAAAAAUCUAUUUUAUAAAAUUAUAAAAUUAUAAAAUAAUUAAAUUAACAUAAAUCAACACUCUAUAAUAUAUACUCAAAAUGCUUUGAAAAAAGAAGAAGAAAAUCAACUCAAACAAAUUUGCAACAAAAAAAUAAAACAAAAAAAUAAUUCAACUAAAAAAAUUCAUAUCAAAAAAUAAAGUUGCGAUUGCUGAAAAUUGAAAAAUCAAUUACAUAAAUAAAUUAAAAAUUGAUCUCAUAUGAAAAAAAUAAUCUCACAACAACAUUCAUACAAUUACUAAGAACAAAAACAAUUAAAAAUAAAAUAAAAAACAAAUAUAGUGAAAAAAAUCAUGAAAAAAAAAUAUUACCUUAAUGUAGUUGCAAGUGAAGCUAAGGAGCGAAAUUGUUUUUUGUAAAUCAUAUUAAUUAAAAAACAAACUAAGAGGAUAAAAGAAAAAAGAAGAAAAAGACAUACUCGAGCAUGAAGGAGAAGAGAAGAGAAAGAAAUAGAUAUUGAUGUUUUUUACAUAUAGAAAAAAGAAGAAGAAGAGGAAGUAGAAGAAGAAGAAUAAUCAUAAGAAAUGAGUCUGUCUCUUGUGAAAUAUGGGGACUCAGGCUUUUUAUUGAGGUGAGUUAACGAUGGUUUUACAAACAGAUAAUUAAAUAUUAAUAUUUUUUAAUUAUUUCGUUGGUAAUUUUGUCUGUAAUAUUUAAUUUAAAAUUUCAAUUUCAUAAAAUUUUUUUAGAAACCACCAACAAUCAAUGAUUAUUUUUUAAUCCGUCGGUGAUUCCAUCACUAAUAUUUAAAUGAAAAUUUUUAAUUAAUUAAAUUUUUUUAGAAAACCACCAAAUAAUACCGAUGACUUUUCAAUUCGUCGGUGAUUUUUUCUGUAAAGAGCAACAAUUAACAGUGUAAUUGGAAAGUGAACAGUUCUGAAGCUCUUUGAAAAAUACUGGCGGAAUGUUCCUUCGAUGAUUCCCUUUGUAAUUGAUACGAUGAACAUUGUUCACAAUUUACCAACAAUUAUAUCGAUGGAAUUUAUUCCGUCGGUAAUAUCGUUGGUAAAAAUAACACGUCAUUACUUUUUUGCUUUGUUUUAAAUUUUUUUCCCACUGUAAUUCUCUUGGUAUAUACCGAGAGAAUAUUUCUAUCGGUAAAAUCCCUCGAAAAUUUACCAAUGAAAAUAUUCCCUCAAUAUUUCCGUUUGUAUUUAUCGAUUUUCUGGUGGUGUUUUUACAGGUCAAUUCUUAUUGGUGUACAAAUAAAUGUGUCUUUUUUUGUUUUGAUUUUUUUUUAGAAUUUUUUUUAGUUUCAUCCAUUUCUAUUUGAUUUUUUGUUUGUUUUUAUUUCAAUAUAAUAUUUAUUCUCUUAAUUGUUGCUUCUUUUUUAUUUAUUGUUUUCUUGAUUUUUUAUUUGAAUUUUGCCUCUAAGCAUUUUAUUUUUUUUUCUUUUUUUUCCCUAGAUAUCGUUCUUAUUUUUUUUAGUUUUUUUUUUCCUUCCUUCGUUAUUCCUCUUUGUUUCUACAAAUUAUGCUUAUAAACCCUGUAUUUUUUAAGAUAUAAUUUUUUAUUCGGAUAUUAGGGAGUUAUUCACGCACCGCCUCAACACCACAAGUGUCUCCCAUUUAUUUUUUCAAUCCCUAAAUUAUUUUGUUUGUCAAAUAUGAUCCCUCAAGCAUCAAUGUAAUUGUGUUUUAAUUUUCAAAAUUAGGUAUCAACUAAACACGUGUUAGAAUUUUUUUCUCGAUCAAAAGGGAUUCUCAUAUUUUAAAAAAAAAAACUAUCAAGUUUAUUUAAAAAAAAAAAAAAAACUUAAUAUAGAAAGAAAAAAGAAGAAAAAAAGUUGAAUCUCUCCCCUACCAUGUAAUUCAGUCACUGAUGUUUCCAUGGAAACAGGGCUCAAUACGUGUAAUUCCAGUGUUUUGACGUCAAAGGAAUAUCAUUGGUGGGUUGUGCCAUGGGGACAGUCAUUUGUUUGUCUGUGUAAAAGUGCAAAACAGGCAUAAAACAAUCAACGAUACUUCUUUCAAAUGGGAGUAAAUGCUUCUGAAGAUAUGAUUGAGCUUUGUUAAGAUAUAUGAUCCCUCAAAGAUCUCCACUGCGUAGUGAUCCUUUCAUUAUACGGGAAAGAAAAGGAGCCACGCAGAGGUCCUCGAACAUCAGCCACCGUGGCUCCUUUCAUUAUCCGCUUUGUGCACCGUGGCUGAUGUUUAAGGAGCACACAAACUUUCUCCUUGUUAUACAUACUUACAUCUCCUUAUUCACAAAAUUAAGCAUCCUCUCUUGCUCUGCUAGCUUGUCUCCUCCUGUGUUUCCUCCUCCAAUCUGGUAAUAUUAUCAAUGCGAUCUCUUUCUAAUCUCAGUUGAGACAUUGCUGCUUUUAUUUUCUUCUAACUAACCAUUCCUUUUUGUAGUUAAUUUUAAGCCAUGGAUGGUUACAUCCCACACCCCCCUGCACAAGACUCGGCCACAUCAUGCUACUCAGCUGCUAAAGGAGGGCUUCCUGGUGUCCUCGUCAUGCUCCUUCUUGCUAUUGUAUUUUAUGUAUUCUUCAAGCGCCGGAACUGCCUCGAGAAGGGCGACCACGGGAAGGUUCAGGUGACCAAUAUUGUUAGAAUGGGAGAAAGAAACGUCCAUGCUGGGGAAUAAGGAGGUACCAUACCAUGUAAUAAGAAGUUGAAGCUAAUUAAGAUUCAUACAAAUGAGAUUUUCCUAAUCUUCCCAUAUUGUUUUUGUAUUAAUUGCAGUAAUCCAUGAAGCACACGCAUGCCUCGACUGCUCUUUUUUAGUUAUAUCUACUGUAUUGUUGCAGAAUCAAACCAAUGAAAUGCAAUGGCAGAAAUUCAUUCUAGCGAGAAUGGCUUUGAUACUUCUUUCAAGAUAUCAAUAUCUCCACAGGUUAGGCUGUUCAUCAUGGUGCUGUGUUUUUUUCUGUUCCCCGGAGUUUGGUCAUGUUCUUAUGGUAUGCUCCUUGAGUUGUGCUGUUUUGGAUUCUUAGCUCGAUCAGUUUUGUGUCCAGUGGGAAAAGGAGGUGAACAGGGAGCUGUGAGCUAUAUCAAGAUAUCUAUAUAUGGUUUGUUGUGUAUGCUCAAUCUCCCUAAAUUAUUAUUUUAUCUGCUAAAGUUUGCCAUGGAAAUCGACUCCAACAUGGCAUCAUAAUUGAUAGCAGCCAGCAAAACUUUGACCUCUAACACGUUUAUUUUCUAACAACAUCGAUAGUUUUGUCAUUAAGUUUCAAUCUUUUUUAUUUGGUUAAGGUGUCAUCGUGAUUGCCUUAUAAUUAUGUUCCCUGUGUUCUUUUUCCCCCUGGCAGCUGAGGAGUGAUCAGAGUGAAUUUUGGGCUUUUGAGUGAGAAUUCUAUGUUUUUUUUUUUUGUUGAAUUUAGGAUUUUCAAGAGCCAAGAGUUUACUUGACUGAGAUCGCAGACUUGCUGAUUAUGGCAUGGACUAUUCUGGACAGAAAUAGCAGACCAUGCCUUCAGGCUAUAUAUUCUGUGCUUCUUCUUCUUUUUUCCAACAGAAAAGAUAGCAAACAAGAUCUGUGGCCGCUGUUGCACCGUGGCAUCCAUUCCUUUUCUUUCUGAGAUUCAUGUUGACAGAUUGUACAAUCAAACACAAAAUGCUUUAUUCAGUUUCUCGAUCACAGCCAAGAUUAAAUUCUGCUUUGUGUCCGGUCCAUUAAUCUGUCCACUAUGUUCAUCCCUUUAAAAAAUAUAAGUAAUUUUUUUUAUAUGUGAAAAGACCUCUUUGGCUUAAAUAUCAAAAUAAAAAAGGAUGAAAAAUACAGGGGUAAUCCUAUAAAAAAAAUCUUAGCUUAGCUUCAUAUAAAUUAUUGGCCAGUGAAUCUUAGCUUAGCUUCAUAUGAUAUGAGUUAAGUUUUUAAAAAAUUUAACCUUUCAAUAAAAAAAUUAUUCCUGUUUUUUUAAAAAAAUUUAGUUUUGUCACUGACUCUUUUAUAAAAAUUUUAUUUUUUUAAUUUAGUCCUUCAAUUAAUUACAAUUUGAUUUUUAUUUUUUUUUAACUUUUAAUUUGUUUUUAUUUUUUGGAUCUUUUAUAAAAGUUCUAUUAAUUUUUAAUUUUAUCACUCAAUUCAAUAUAUUAAAAAAAUAAUUUUACCAGUAAAUAACUAGUAUCAUUAAUAAUAAUAAAAAAAAAACCGUUUGAGCAUUCAGGCUCGCCUAAGAUUCAGUCCAGGUUUCCCAAUAAGAUUAUUUAUAAUACGGCCGGUGAGAUGAUCGUUCUGUAAAAACCUGAAAAAUAAAGGACUGUGAAGCAAGUAGAUAACAGGACAGGGCUUCAAACGCCCUGUGGGAGAUGGGGGCAAAAGGGGCAAGAGACAGCAAGAAGGGAAGUCGGCAAAACAGUACUUGUGUGAUGGUGGCCUUUCCAAUUUUCCUUCUAUUUCCAAAAGCCCUAUGGGAAAUGCGUCAGCGAAGAGGGUUUUGAGUUAUGAAAUAUGCCAGCUUCUCCCCCCCUCCUGCACAACAGUACUUGUGUGAUGUGUCCAAUUUCCGCGUGAUGUGCUAUGAAAUGCGUCAGCGAAGGGAGGCUACUCCUUAGUUUUGAGUUAUGAAAUGCGUCAGCGAAGGGAGGCUACUCCUUAGUUUUGAGUUAUGCGUCAGCGAAGGGAUUUUGAGUUAUGCGUCAGCGAAGGGAGGCUACUCCUUAGUUUUGAGUUAUGAAAUGCGUCAGCGAAGGGAUUUUGAGUUAUGCGUCAGCGAAGGGAUUUUGAGUUAUGAAAUGCGUCAGCGAAGGGAUUUUUUCCCACUAUUUAAGAGCGCAGAUGCGAUCUCUUAUACAUACUUACAUCUCCUUGUUACUCACAACAUUAAGCAUCCAUUCUUGCUCUGCUAACUCGUCUCCUCAAAUUUGGUAAUAUUAUCAAUGCGAUCUCUUUCUAAUCUCACUUGAGAAAUUACUGCUUUUAUUUUCUUCUAAUUAACCAUUCCUUUUUGUAGUUAAUUUUAAGUCAUGGAUGGUUACAUCUUACACCCCCCUUCACAAGACUCGAUCACAUCAGGCUACUCCUCAGCUGCUAAAGGAGGGCUCGCUGGUGUCCUCGUCUUGCUCCUUGCUAUCGUAGUUUAUAUAUUCUUCAAGCGCCAAAACUGCCUCGAGGAGGGCGACCCCGAAAAGGUUCAGGUGAUCAAUAUGGUUCAAAUUAGAGAAAUAAGGAGGUACCUUACCAUGUAAUAAGAAGUUGAAGCUAAUUAAGAUUCAUACAAAUGAGAUUUUCCUAAUCUUCCCAUAUUGUUUUUGUAUUAAUUGCAGGAAUCCAUGAAGUACCCGGAUGCCUCGACUGUUCCUUCUUAGUUAUAUCAACUGUAUUGUUGCAGAAUCGAACCGUUUUAAUUUGUACUUUAUAUAUAAAUAAAUGAUUGUGUGAAUUUCGUGUUGGACUUAAACUUAAUAUUGAAUUGUGUUGCUGCCACUUUAUUUUAAAAUCGUCAUAGCAGAUAAUGAAUUGUGGGCUUUUUCUUUAUUUUUUAUAUUUUUUUAACUUUAAUUCGAGUGGGGUUUUACUAUUACCAAUUUACUGUGUUGCUGCUACUCUUUUUUUUUGGGUUUUAACCACGUGUAAUUUCUUAAUUGCUGGGGCUUGCUUUAGGAGCUUUCUUUUUAUAGUCUCUUGGUCGUCCAUAAAACAAACACUCACCGCAACAGUCACAGCCAAACUCUUUGUUAAACCGAUGGUGUUUCGGUGCGUUGAGCGCCGGAUCGGUGCCAACUCAUCUCCUCUGCGCGUUGAUGAGGGCGGUUUUUCUCGCCGCCAUCCAACGAGGGAUGUCCAGUCUUUUUGCCUUCCGUUGCUUUCCCUUUUGUCUUUGCGCGACUUUCGCCGUUGGUGGAGUUACUAGUGGCGUGGACCUGGACGGUUGAGUUGGCUUCUGUGAUCGCUUGAGUCUGUCGGAGUUGUCGCUUUUCGUGUUCUUUUAUUUUUUCCCGAUCCUGGUAGCUGGAUCGUUUCAUUGUUAACGGCUAUGCCGUGGUUUGGUGGUUAUGUUGGUAGCUGGUUCAAUGGCUAUGUUGGUGUUGGGCGUGCCAUGGCAGAAUUGCGCUGGGCAGUUGGGGUUUGUUUUUUAGAGGGAGAUGAGAAUUGCCAGGGGAGAUGGGUUGCGGUGGUGGUCCGUGGGUUUUGGCUUUGUUGAUUGGGAAGACGUGAUUUUCAUAAAGGCCAUAAUAUUUGAUUUUCAUAUAAAAAUAAGUAGGGAUUGAAAAUCAAUUUCUCAGGAAAACUAAAAAAAAAAAAUGCAAAAAUUAGGAUUGUAGUUGAGGUGAUUUUUAAAAUACUUUCUCAUUUUAAAUGAAAACAGUGAGAUUGGGCAGUUGAAUAUAUAUAUAUAUAUAUAUAUAUGAAAACAGUGAGAUUGGGCAGUCCAAUAUAUAUUCGUGCUAUCCAAACCCGAAGCAUGCCAGUUAGCUGGAGUUUUGGGAGUUUGUGUCCCCUGUCUUCGUGCCUUUAUUUUCCCUUUUUUUUUUCAUUUUAUUUAUACGGGUGUUCGGGCCAGCUUACGUGCACCACGACUAAUCCUACAGCCCACUGAACAUCUUGUAAAUCAGUGAACAUAUAAGGCACCGCGAAAAUAAUAUAUAUACACAGUAAAAUUUGAACCCAGUAUAAAAAAAAAACAAGCUCCUUUUAUCGAUAUGCCAAGAACUCAAGUGCUAUUUCCCCUUCCUUUUUUGUUUGAGAGAGAGAGGCUAGUGGAUAGGAUCAUGGGAAUUGGGAUCAUAGGAAAAAGGUUUGUUUAAUGCCUAAAGUGAGAGAUGCUGCAUGGUGCAGCAGCAGGUAGAACCUGCUUUUAUUUUUUAGCGUUUCAAUGAAUUUUGGUGGGAUCCAUGAAUAAUAUUUUGUUUUUUUUUUGUUAUUAAACGUUGUUGCAUCUGUGUUUUGACGCAACAACGUAGACAAACACAUUCUAUAUAUGAAAGAACAAGCUCCCGAUAUACGUCAAGCUCCCGAUUUCUGUCAGAUUCCCCUUAACGAAGCCACUUUAAGACAAUCAUGUUCCAACGAAAUCACGUUGUUGUAUCCCUGCAAAAUUUCUCUUUCUAGUCACACAAUCACUAAUAUGCCUAUCAUGAUUCUCAAUAGGCCAACAAAGAGUCAAAACCUUAUAGGCAUAUUUGUCAAGAUAGAGAGUGGACAUCCACUCAAUCUUUCCAUGCUAUUAGAAAAGGCAUCCGUACAAUUCCGAGACCUCAUUUAAGGAUUUCAAUUUGGAAAAAGAAUUGAUAGCAUGGAAAGAUUGAGGGGUCCACUCUCUAUCUUCAUUUGCUUUCUUUCUUUACUGGCACCGUCCGUGUCAUCGCCGACACAUGGAAAGAGAUAAUCUCUCUCUAAUUCUUAAUUUAUUACUAUAUGCAACUCUAUUUUGUUUAUAGGCUGGUCAAUUCUAAAAUACAGAUAAAAAUAAUAAUAAAAAAGCUCUUUGUUUGUUUAUUAUGCAUUUCAAAUAAAAUAAAAACAGUUCAGAAGAAACUGUUGAGAUUUUGUCCCUACUUUCUUUUUCUAUUUUCUUUUUUUAGCAUGGAGACUAAAUCUACCUCUUCAUGAUAAAAUGCAUUUCUCUUAAUUUAGACUGAAUUCUGAUUGAUGGUUAAGGAAAGAACACGUCAUUUUAACCAUUUAUUCAUCCCUCCUAAUGUUAUGCCUUUUUAAUUUAGCUUAUCCUUAUCGUACCGUGUUUUAGACCUAGUUUGGGGUUAAGUUAUCAAGUUAUUUUUUGCAUUUAAAACAUCAAAAUUAUUUGAUAACUCAACGAGUUUAAAUUUGUUUAAACUUAGGUUACUAACAUCUAAUUUUAAAAUUCAAAAUCAUCUUAUCCAAGACAUGCAUAAGAAAACCGAAACACAUCAUUUUAAUAAAAAUAAUUAACAUAAAUUGAUGUUUUUGCAAGAUAAAGGCAUGGAUACUUGUUAUAAAUAGACAAUAAAUUCAAGUAUUAAGAGUUAAAAAACAUCACAGGAGAAGAAGAAAGAGUAAAAGAGGUUAAAUUUUUGUUUAAAUUAAAGUUUUUUUUAAUUUUUUUUUAUAUUACAUUAUUUCCGUACCCUUUAUUUAUUGUUUUCUUUCUUCUCUUCUGGUUCGGCCUAUCGUGUCUUAUUCUUUGAAUCUUGAAGUGUCUUACAAAGAAGAUCCUUUAAUUAUAACAGCUUUUGGCGCUCGUCUUUUUUUGGUUCCAUUAAGAUUAAUAAGAGGAUAAGAUUGCGUGAGCGCAAGGCUUUUAAUAUACAUAUUAAAAAAUAUACUGGUCAGGUAAAAUUGCAAAGUCGUGAUUUUUAAUAUUUUAAUUGUAUUAGAUACAAUUUAUUUGUUUUUAAUUUAAUUAUUUGGUAUUUUAUUUUUAAUUGUUUUAUCAUCUUUAUUUUUAAUUUUUUUUUCUAAUUGAAUUUUAUUUUUUAAUUCAAUCCAUAAUCAUUUAAUUUUAAUUUUUAUAAUUAUAAUUUAAUUUUUAUUUUGAGUUGUCUUAUUAAUUAAUUGUUUUUUUAGUAACACCAAGCCUGAUAGUCGACACUCAUUAAUUAUGUCCCGAGGACGUCAACAUAAUUGCAUGUGAAGCUUUUGACAAAUUCCUCUCUCUAUUUUUCCUGCUCCCCACUAGGGUCAGAUGAAAAAGCAACGCAGGAAACCAACAGGACAUAGAAUGAUGCACAAAAAUUAUUGAAGUAAUCAAGACUGGCUAACAAGAACAUCCUUGUAAGGAGUUGGUGCAGGAAUAGGCGCUGCUCUUGUUUCUCCGGCUAUCCUUUACCCCCUCCUCUCCUCUGCUAGGAUUAGCGGCGCCUGGCCCUCCCUCUCUCGUCUCAAACGCACUGCCACCCCACAUCCAGAUUAAUGUGGAUGCAGCCGUGGUCUUCAUCAUCAGCUUUUUUUACAGCUACUGCUAUGGAAAUGAAUCAAACCACUUAAUUUUUGUGACAGGGAUCAAGUAGUUUACUUUGGAUCCAGGCAACCUCUUGGUUUUUCUGUGUAUGAGACAUGUAAUUACUUUAAAGGAUCUGAAGCAACUCAUAAAACUGAUUUGUUGCUUCGCUUUCCAACCUUGCUCAUGUUCUAUGAAAUAAAAAAAGCUUUUUGAUUUUGCUGCGUUCUUAGUUAAACAUGGAAUUCAAACCCUAACCCGCAGUGGAGCGCCGGCAGAAAAUCCAGUUACAUGCUGCAUACUUGACCAAUGGGGGGGGACAACCUUAUAAUCGGGUUGGUAGGGUAAGAAUAACAUUCAUUAUCGGGUUGAACUGAUUGAUUUGGUUUUGACGACUUAUAAUCGUUGUUGAAGAAAUUAACUAGCAUGACUUAAAAAACUUCAAUUAAAAUGGUCUGGUCUCGAAUGAGAAAACAGACCAAAUAUUUAACUGCAACAAUACAGUAGUAGAUAUAACUAAAAACCAACUGUCGAGGCGCCCGAGUACUUCAUGGAUUGCUGCCUUGACGAAGAAGAAGACCUGCAAUUAAUUCGAAAACAUUAUUGGAAUAUUAGAAGAAUCUCAUUUGUAUGAAUAUUAAUCGGGUUCAGCUUCUUAUUACAUGGUAUGGUACCUACUUGUUUCCCAGCAUGGACGCUCCUUUCUUGCAUUUCAACAUCACUCACCCCAACAACCUUCACUUGGCAGUUUCGGCGCUGGAAGAAUACAUAAACGACGAUAGUAAGGAGCGUGAUGACGACACCAGCAACUCCUCCUUUAGCAGCUGAGGAGUAGCCUCCGGUGGCCGAGUCUGGUGCAGGGUGUAACCAUCCAUGACUCAAAACUACAAAAUGGAAUGAUUAAUUAGAGGGGGGAAAAUCAGUAAUGUCUCAAGUGAGAUUAGAAAGAGAUCGCAUUGAUAACAUUACCAAAUUUGAGGAGGGAAAUAGCUUUGAUUUAUGCCUCACACACACACACACUUACUUUGAAGCGACGGUUGGAAGUAUCAAGGCCACUCUCGCUAGAAUGAAUAUCUGCCAUUGCAUAUCAUUGGUCCGUUUACUUUGAAAAAAUAAGAAAGGGAGGAGCACCUCUAAAUUCAUCAUCCAUAAGCAUGGCUUCCAAUGCUUCGAUUUCCAUGUCCUGCUCCUUUCCAUAGUCUGCCAAUUCAUCUCAUUCAACCAGUCAGUUAUUAAAACAUACAUAUUAGAAUGCCCCAUCACUGCAACACAACACUCCUCCACUGGGGAGGAACUAUUAACCAACCAAUAUAGGUACUGAUAAACAAUUAAUUCAAAGAUCCAUUUAAGAAAAUCAAAGAAAAUUACCAGUCAAGCUCGAUAAUUUUAAUCUCCUUCUGUCUCUCCCUUCCUCCAUUGCUAUUUUUUCUUUGCAAUAGAAUAUUAAUGCCUCUGUACUCAACAAAGCCAAAACCCACGGACCACCACCGCAACGCAUCUCCCCUUGCAAUUCUCGUCUCCCUCUCAAAAAAAAACAAAAAAACAAAAACCCAACCGCCCAGCGCAAUCCGCCAUGGCAAGCCCAGCACCAACAUAGCCAUUGAACCAGUUACCAACAGAACCACCAAACCAAGGCAUAGCCGUUAACGACGAAACGAUCCAGCUGCCAGGAGCGGGAAAAAAAAACACGAAAAGCGCCAGCUACGAUAAACUCAAGCGAUCACAACAAUCAACGCAACCGUCCAGGCCCACGCCGCUAGUAACUCCACCGGCGGUGGAAGGCGCGCGAAAACAAAAGGGAAAGCAACGGAAGGCAGAAAGUCUUCUUAUUUUUCACUUUUUUGGUUGUAUUUCCCUUUUUUUUUUUUCAUAUGAAACAUCUGCUUGCAGCCGGAGAUAGACCUCGCAACUGAUCAGUGUUGCCUCCAAAACCCACUACAUCGGCAAUGAAGCAUUCAUUGAAAGGAUUGGGAAAAAUAAAUAAAAAUGACGCCAGUUUUUAGUUUUUUAGUUGAUACCACAGACUUUCCUGUGUUUGGACAUGUUAUUCUUCCACGAUACAAUAGUGUGAAAGGAAGAAGUCGUGGUGGGUUGCCUUUGUACGAGUCCGUUUGCUUCUGCGUUUGAAGCAACCAUAAUAAAUAAUACGUUUAGUAACGUUAAAAACACAAUAAAAUUUUGGUAGGGUCCAUGAAAAUUCACGUUGUACACGUGAAUUUUGAGAAGCAGCUCCUGGCUGCUUCUCAAAAUUAAUUUACGUGCACAGUGUAAUUCACUUGCACUGUGCACGCCAACGGUGCAAUUUUUUGUGUGUUUUGUUUUUUGUAUUUAAAAAAAAUUAGUUUAGAGUGAAUUAAAUUCACUUGCACUGUAAUAUUAAAUCAAUUUUAUUCUUGAUAAUAUUUUAUCUAAUUUUAUAUAAAAUAAUAUUUAUUUUAUGAAGUAACAGUAAUAGUUAAAUCCAUAAUAUUUAAAUUAAAAACCAUCAGUAUUAAUAUAUAUUUUUAAAAUUAUUUUAUAACCUCAAUUUCAAAAGCACUCUUAACCAAACAUAUUAAACUACUUUUUAUUCAACCUCAAUUUCAACCACAGUUUUAACCAAACACCUAUUUUUUCAAACCAACCUCAACUAAAAGUAUUUUUUAUUUAUAAAACAACUUUUUUAAAACCACAACCGCAACAGCUACCGCAAUACCAAACACACUCGUAGAGUGACGAAUAUUGAAAAGGGAAAUUUGAAGAAAGAAAAAUGCUAAAAAAAGAUAAAUUUAAUAACCAUGUAUUAAAAAUAUAAAUAAAUAAAUUAAUUAAAAGGUAAAAUUACAUUUUAAAAAAAAAACUCAAACUCGUGGAAAAAACAUUAUGGACUACCUCACAUUCAAUUGCAUUGUUCACCGUAACAAUGUUAAAAAAAAUUUGUUUCCUUUAGAAACUUUUUGUUUAAAUCACCAAUAUAUUUUUGUAGAUUAGUCUUCAAAAAUUGCAUUAUAUGGUAUUUCAAGCUCAUAAUUUAUUUUAGUUGUUUUCUAUAGGGUUUUUUUAGGUAUUAAAGAGAAACAUAUCAAUUAGAUUGGUGUUUAAUUUUAUAGAAAAAAAAACAAUUUGGUUAUGCUAAAUGAAAAAAUUAUAAAUUUAGGGAUCCAAUUUGAUAUUAUGGAAAAUAUUAAUGAUUUUUCUUUUUAUCUCAAUGUUAAAAAUGUAUCUUUUCUUUUAUUCAUUUGAUGUUUCAUAAAAAAAAACAUGUGAACAUGUGGUCCCUUAGUUUUUUAUUUUAUUCAUUUGACCCUUAAUGUUUUGAGUUUAAAUUUUGAUUCAAAGCUAAUAUGAUUAAAAAAAAAAAAACAACGGUAGUGGAUAAAUAAAAAUAAAAUAAUAAUUAACUAAAAAGAUAAGUCAUCAAUAUCAUAUUCAGGAGAGGAAGAAAAAAAUUUCGUUGGAAACUCAAUGUUACUUUACCAUAAAAUUUUCCCAUCAUUAUAAAGAGCUAACUGAGACAUUUCUAGAACUAUGAAAGAUUGCAAGACAAUAUCGAAUGAGGCUGCAAACACAGCCAAAGCAAUGAUAUAGAAAUCAAAAUAAAAACAAUGGUGUGAUCAUCCGUGCUCAUAUUUAAUUAAUUAAUAUAAUAUAAUUUAUUUAAAAAACUAAAUUUAACAAAUAAUAACAAAUAAAAAGACCAAUAGAAUUCAUGUAAUUUUUAAAAUUAGUAAAAAAUUCUAUAAAAAAAUAAUAAAAUUAAAAAAGGAUAAAAUUAAAAAAAACAAAAAACAAGCUUGAAAAGAAAAGGGGGGGAUAGGCAAACCCGGUCGAAUUUUUUAAAUUCAAAUUAGUCUUUCAAACUCAUAACCCGUGAAAUCCUAAACUCGGAUUCAAUCAAUAGCUCAAUUCCCAACUAAUUUAAUGUUGAUGAUGAAAUUAAAAAAUAUAUUUUAAAAAAAUUUCAAAGUAAAAAUAAAAUAAAAAAGGGUCAAAUUAAGAGGAUAAAAAACCGGAAGAGAGUGAAAUCAUAAAAUGAAUUCAAUUUUUCGAUAGUUUUGUAACCCACCAUGGAAUUUUGGAAAUCAAAGUGGCAAAUGGAUUGGUUAAAAACAGAAAACACAAACCAAAAUAUUCAUUUAAAACCAACAGAAUGGAAAUUCUGCUGUUGAUCUCGAGCAAGCCAGCUAUGUGAUCACCACGGCACCUGAAUCACCUCAUCUAUCUGUGAACCUUAACCAAGAAAACAAAAAGGAAAGAAGAAAGAACUUUCCUGAAUCACCUCAUUAAUCUGUGAACCACAAAUAACUUGAAUUGUUAAAAAAAAAUUAUAAUAAUUAUAGUCAAAAUCAAGCCUUUGAUUAUCAAAUUACACAAAUUUUACAAGAUAUAAAUUUAAAACAAUAAAAAUAUUAAGGUACAGAUUACUAUAAUAUAUAAUUUUAUAUUUUUUUUAAACUCAUAAAAUUGGUCUGAUUUUACCAAGUUUGAACGAGUUUAACCAAUUUUAUUAAUUUUUAAAUUUUAAUUUAAUUUAACAUAUUAGAUAUAUAUCACACAUAAAAUCAUAAAAUUUUAAGAAACAAUUUUUUUUUUUAGACAAGUUCACAGCCCCGAUGAUGGUCAAUGAAAGAAUAAAAAAAAAAAAGCAUUUUGAUUUUUUAGCGUUCCGACAAAAAAUCUAGCUGGGCACGACGUCCUUGACCAACGCGUGGGACAUGCCUUUGGCUGCAUCUGUUAUUUGGGUGUGGUUUCCUUUCAAGAGAGGAUGCAAAGAGUUAUGUUUGGGUGUGAUUUGUUUAUAUGCAACUCAACGAAAAAAAGCCAUUUUAAGAAAUAAACAAAAUUCUCGAAAGAAGCAGUGACGAAAGAAAGAAAAUGGUAACCAAGUGCAUCCUUGUAGGGGGUUGGCGCAGCAGUAAUAGGUUCUCUUUUUGAAGAAAAUUACUGCUGUUAGACUACUGUUAAUUUCCAACUCAAGAAAUUAAGAAAUAUUAAUGUCCAAUUAUAAUGUAAGAAAACUUGUAUUCCUUCAAGACUAAUAAAAAGACAAUAAAAAUCCCAGUAUUAUUUUCAAAAAGAAGAAACAAAAUUGAAAUACUGAGACAUAUAAGAGAGUUUAAUUUAUGUUAGGUAACGUUUAAUUUCUCAAAAGUCAAAGCAAUUUCAUCGAGAAUAUUAUCUCACGAUCUGGAAAAAUAAAUAAGAAAAAAAUAUCAUCUAAAAAUGCUUCAUGAGGGCCAUAAUGUUUCAUUUUUUAUAAAAAGAAUAGAGAUAGAAGAUCAAAUAUAUAUAUAUAUAUAUAUAUAUAUAUAUAUUAUUUUUAUAUGUUUUUUGAAAUUAUUUUUAGUUCAAUACCUCUUAUUUUUUUUUAUAAUUUUUUUAAAAUGAUAAUUAUCUUUGUAUAAAUAUAUAUUCUGAAAUCAAUUAUUUUUUAAGUGUUCUUUUUUAAUAUAAAUAACUAAAUCAGUUUAUACACUAAUUUUAUAAAUUAUAAAAUUAAUAAUUAUAUAAAUUUUUAAUAAUAUCGAGAAGACUUAAACUUAUAUCUAUAAAAAAACAAAUCUAAAAUCUUAGUAUUUAGAUUUUAAGAUUUGUCUUUUUCAUCGUGUAGUAACCCCCGGUCCCCUGUUAGCAGACUCCGAGACCGCGCUCGCAUAUUUUCUCCAAUGUGAUUCUACCUCUUUUACUAAAAAUAUGUCCACAAAAAACACGCGCUCAAUCACACGCGCACAAAAACACCAAGACAUGCCGAGACAUGGCACAAAAACACCAAGACAUGCCACAAAAACACCAAGACAUCACCAGUUCUAAUUAAAAGCACGCGAAAACACCAAGGCGCCACCUCUUCUAUAAAUAGCGCAUCCUACUUACAUACUUACAUAUUUACAAAAUUAAGCAUCCACUCUUGCUCUGCUAACUUGUCUCCUCCUGUGUUUAAUUCCUCCUCAAAUUUGGUAAUAUUAUCGAUGCCAUCUCUUUCUAAUCUCACUUGAGACAUUACAGCUUUUAUUUUCUUCUAAAUAAUCAUUCCUUUUUGUAGUUAAUUUUAAGCCAUGGAUGGUUACAUCCUACACUCCCCUGCACAAGACUUGGCCACAGCAGGCUACUCCUCAGCUGCUAAAGGAGGGCUUGCUGGUGUCCUCGUCAUGCUCCUUCUUGCUAUCGUAUUUUAUGUAUUCUUCAAGUUCCGAAACUGCUCCAUGAAAUUUGAGAUGGAUGUUGAAAUGCCAUAAAGGAGCGUCCAUGCUGCUGCUGGGACAUAAGACAAUGAGAUUCUUCUAAUUUUCCAAUAUUAAUGUUUUCGUAUUAAAUACUCGGGCGUCUCGACCCUUUGUUUUUGGUUUCAUCAUCUGUAUUGCUGCAGAUAAAUAUUUGGUCUCUUUUCUCAUAAUAAAACAAUUCCAUAUAAUUUGUACCUUUUAUGGUGUGGAUUUUGUGGGAUUGUUUGUUUUUUUAUUUUAAAAAUAUUUUUAAGCCACGUCUAAGCUUCUUAUUUGCUGGGGCUUGCUUUAGGAGCUUUCUUUUUAUAGUCUCUUUUUAACGAAAAGAAGGUCGUCCUUCGGCUGCUUUCGCUUCUUCUUCUUCUUUUCGCUCAACUUCCGCCGCUGGUGGGUUACUACCGGCGUGGUCCUGGACGUUGCGUUGGCUGUCGUUAUAGCUUGAGUCUGUCGGAGUUUUCGCUUUUCGAGUUCUUUUUUUUAGGCUCCUGGCAGCUGGAUCGUUUCGUUGUGACGGCUAUGCCGUGGUUUGAUGGUUUUAUUGGUAACUGGUUCAUUGGUUGUGUUUUUUUUUUUCUCUCUCUCGAGAGAGGUGAGAAUUGCUAGGAGAGAUGGGUUGCGGUGGUGGUCCGUGGGUUUCAGUGCGUUAAGUGUGGGAUCGGUGCCAACUCCAUCUCCUCUGCGUGUUGAUGAGGGCGGUUUUUCUCGUCGCUAUCCAACGAGGGAUGCCCAGUAUUUUGGCUUCCGUUGCUGCGUUGACUUCCGUGAUUGCUUGAGUCUGUCGGAGUUGUCGCUUUUCUGUUUUUUUUUUCCCGCUCCUGGCAGCUGGAUCGUUUCGUUGUUAUCGGCUAUGCCGUGGUUUGGUGGUUAUGUUGGUAACUGGUUCAAUGGCUAUGUUGGUGUUGGGCUUGCCAUGGCGGAAUAGCGCUGGGCAGUUGGGUGUUUUUUUUAUAAGUAGACGAGAAUUGCCAGGGGAGAUGGGUUGCGGUGGCGGUCCGUGGGUUUUGGCUUUGUGGAGUACAGAGGCAUUAAUCUUCUACUACAAAGAAAAAAAAUAGCAACCGCGACCUGGAGGAAGGGAGAGACAGAAGGAGAAUAAAAUUAUCGACCUUGACUGGUAAUUUUCUUUGAUUUUCUUAAUGGAUCUUUGAAUUAAUUGUUUAUUAUUACGUAUAUUGGUUGGUUGAUAGUUCCUCCCCGGUGGAGGAGUGUUGCAGUGAUGGGGCAUGCUAAUAUUAUGUUUUAUCAACCGAUUGGUUGAAUGAAAUGAAUUGGCAGUCUAUGGAAGCCAUGCUUAUUUUAAUAACUGAUUGGUUGGUAGCUCCUCCCUUUAUUUCUUUUUUAUUUUUUCAAAGUAAACAAACCAAUGACAUGCAAUGGCAGAAAUUCAUUCUAGCGAGAAUGGCCUUGAUACUUCUUUCAAGGUAUCAAUAUCUCCACAGGUUAGGCUGUUCAUCACGGUGCUGUGUUUUUUUCUGUUCCCCGGAGUUUGGUCAUGUUCUUAUGGUAUGCUCCUUGAGUUGUGCUGUUUUGGAUUCUUAACUCGAUCAGUUUUGUUUCCAGUGGGAAAAGGAGGUGAACAGGGAGCUGUGAGCUCUAUCAAGAUAUCUAUAUAUGGUUUGCUGUGUAUGCUCAAUCUCCCUAAAUUAUUAUUUUAUCUGCUACAGUUUGCCAUGGAAAUCGACUCCAACAUGGCAUCAUAAUUGAUAGCAGCCAGCAAAACUUUGACCUCUAACACGUUUAUUUUCUAACAACAUCGAUAGUUUUGUCAUUAAGUUUCAAUCUUUUUUAUUUUGGUUAAGGUGUCAUCGUGAUUGCCUUAUAAUUAUGUUCCCUGUGUUCUUUUUUCCCCUGGCAGGUGAGGAGUGAAUUUUGGGCUUUUGAGUGAGAAUUCUAUGUUUUUGUUUUUGUUGAAUUUAGGAUUUUCAAGAGCCAAGAGUUUACUUGACUGAGAUCGCAGACUUGCUGAUUAUGGCAUGGACUAUUCUGGACAGAAAUAGCAGACCAUGCCUUCAGGCUAUAAUUCUGUGCUUCUUCUUCUUUCCAAACAGAAGAUAGCAAACAAGAUCUGUGGCUGCUGUUGCACCGGGGCAUCCAUUCCUUUUCUUUCUGAGAUUCAUGUUGACAGAUUGUACAAUCAAACACAAAAUGCUUUAUUCAGUUUCUCGAUCACAGCCAAGAUUAAAUUCUGCUUUGUGUCCUGUCCAUUGAUCUGUCCACUGUGUUCAUCCCUUUAUUUUUGUUUUUUGUUAUCUUUGCAUUGUAUUGACAUUGAAACCAUUGCUCACAUCCUAUCUUUCUUCUUUCCUUUUUUUUUCUUGGAUAAGGUUCGCAGAUACAUGAGGUGAUUAUGGUGCCGUGGUGAUCACAUAGUUGGCUUGCUCGAGAUCAACAGCAGAAUUUCCAUUCUGUUGGUUUUAAAUGAAUACUUUGACAGCUACUGUUAUGGAGAUGGAUCAAACCACUUAAUUUUUGUAAGUACAAUGUAAUUACUUUUCGUUUUAAAUGAUCAAGGAGGUUUACUUUGGAUCCAGUCAACCUUUUGGUUUUUCUGUGUAUGAGACAUGUAAUUGCUUUAAAGGAUCUGAAGCAACUCAUAAAACUGAUUUGUUGUUUCGCUUUUCGAUUUUGAUGCGAAGAGCUGUAUUUGGUAGUUUAAGACAUGAUUGAAAUGCAUGUCAGGUCAGGUCGAUCUCCUAAAGCAACAAUCACC
rnacentral:lncRNA from 1 species